GCAAGGGUAACAAUGACUUCUAGUACACUACAUAGAGUAGUUUGUUAUGGUAUAAUUGUGAUAAUGUAAAAUAUUAGAAGAUCAGUACAUAAAAAGCUUGAAAAAAAGGUUUUAAUAUCGGAGAAUGUUGUGGUUGAUCAGUGUAGCUUCUGCAAAUCUGAAGUUAUGGUGGGGAUUAUCCUAUCAGCGUUUUGGGACUGGUUAAACUGAUGAAACAGUAAGCUACCAUCAAAUGUGUUCAAAUAAGACUAACAAGCCAGGGAUUCAUCGAAUGUUACUUACAGUUGCUAGAUGACCUUAAUACUUCUCCAAUAAGAUUAAGGUUUAAUAAUAACCAAUGUAUUAAAAAGUAGCAUACCAGUCGGUACAAGCUGGUAUCUACCUGUCCGACCACGAAUAUGUUCAUUGACUAACUUGUACUGUUUAUGACUGCCUCUUUUGCCUCUUCUUUCUCCUCCCCAUCGUGUCUUCAUUGUUGCCACCUCCUCCAGCUUCUUCUUCUUUUCCUCCUCUCUGCCUCCUCCUCCUCCACCUCCCCUUCCUCUACUCCACCUCCUCUCCUCCUUUACCUCCUCUUCUUCUAUCCUCCUCUCAUGUUUGGGCAGGUUCGACCCUUGCCGGGUGCUAGUAUAUUGGUUUGUAAUAAAACCAUACUGAUCUAACCUUGAUCCAACAAUGCAAUACCCCUUUUUGGGACUUAAGAAUGUAAUAGCACUCCGAUUAAUAAUACAUCCUUAAAUAUAUUUAACAAAAGGCACAGUGCAGAAGGCUCCAGUUAAGAGCAUUUUAAUUCAUAAAAUGUUUUGAAAUAUCCUCCAUGGCAUCUUAUCUUGCCUGAAAUUACAUGGCAAAAAGCUUCCUGCUUUUAGCCAAGAUGCUCCAUCAUCAGACAGAUUCUAAAGCCUAUCACAUCGAUGAUUAUUUGUUGACAAGUAUUUCCUUGGUGACUAUCAUUAUCUGCAAUGAUUGUCAAUUGGUUUUUUUUUUUGGAAAUGCAUUUUGCUGCAUGUAGUAUCCCCAGCUCAGUUAGAAUUUCAACUAUGGGAGGUGUUUAAACUUGCUGAAUAAUUAUUUCAGAGAUUGAGGCAGCCAAUCACGGUGUUAAAAGAACUUGCCAAUGUGAAUACUAGGUUAAAAAUAACAAUGUUUGUCACAUUCAUUAAAAAAGGGUGGCCCAACUCUUGCCAAUGUGAGAUCUUCGUAGGUUCAAUGUAGGUGACUUUGCCCUUACAAGCAAAGGUUGUUUCCAUCGAUAAUAUAAAGUAGCCAAUUUUUUACAUGUAUAAUAUAACCAAAUAUUUCAAAUUGUCACUAGUCAAAGCUAUGCACAAACAAGACCAAAGCUUAGUGAGGUGAUGAAAAUAGGUGCUACAGCUUUUAAAAAGGUGUACAAGCCAUAUAUCCAGGUAGAAGACAGCAAGAUUGUUAAAAGGUUUAAAUUUAAAGAUGGGACUUUAGUUCAACUUCAUAUCUUAAAAAGACUUUGUAAAGACUUAGAACUAAUCAUAUACACAAGACACAAUUGAACUGGAGUAGUUGAAAUGGAGGAGCAAUUUAGUUACGAGAUAUAUAUUGCAAGGCAAGAGAUCUAGUUGAGAGGCUGAACGUCCACGAAAUUCUGAUGAACUACAUUUGAUGUCCAAGAUUGAUAAAUCUGAUGAACUCCCUGCACUUCUUGGAUUAAAAUUAAAAUUAAAAUUAAAUUCAUGAUUGAUAAAAUAUAAUUUCUAAUCCAAACAAGAUAUCAUAUUUUCUCUCCUAGGAAAAACAAGAAAUGUAAUUUUAUUUAACAAAUAAAACAAAUAAGCUUAUUGAAAUAAAAUAAAUAGGGAAGAAACCUACUUGAUUCCUUAAGAUGAUACCACUUCCACUCUUUACCUUCCUUGCAAUCCCGAUCGAUGUGAAAAAGAAGAGGGGUUUGUUGGCUUAUGAAGAGAUGGAUAGCUAUUCUAAAACUAUUUCUCAGAGACCUUUGGAAUAUAUGAUGUAAUAUAGGGUUACAAACUUACAAUGUUUAUACUUAUUAAUAUUAGUUUGCGAAUGUCAAGUACAUUUUCAUUGGUUGAUGAGGGGUUACCCCCCAACUCAAAUUAUUCAAAUGAUUCUGCUAAAAAUUUUCCAACUCAAUAAUAUCAAUGAGAUUAUAGCUUGUUCCUACACCAUGGGUUUUUGUUGUGUAGGUUCUGUAUUACAUGGGAUUCCUGUAUGGCAACCUUUUUUUUUUGUAUACAACGUGCUAAGGUUGUGCAAUAAUAACAAAAGAAUGCUAACCUAGUGCGUAUAUGGUUUGUUUAGUUGAUGAUGCUGUGCAAGAAUGGAGUCAAAUCUCAAUGAAGGAUCUUGUAGACAAGGAUUAUCAUCUAUACAGAAAAUACAGUAGUGAAGCUUCUUUAUAAGUGAAGAUAGGAUAUUUGAUUAGCCUUGACUCGAACGGUUAUGUAUAGUAACUUCUUAAUUAUGUUAUGCUUAUUCGUUUAUUUAUCCUUUCUCUUCAUGCACUUUGGAUAGUGAAAGGUUUGAAGCAUGGAUAGUUAAAUUUUUGAAUAUUGGAAUAAUUAACAGUGAAAAUUUUCUCUUUUCCCAUGUAUGUGAGAUUGUGAGUCAUGUCUGUCCAUUAAUUCCUCAUGUUCAGGGCUCAUCAAUGUGACAUUAGUUCGCAGCCAGGUCCACCAACUUACUCUUGUCUUCUCUUAUUUGCUCUCUGUCUUGUGCUCAAAAUUUAGAACAACUCUUAUUUGUUCUCUAAAAUAUUAGUUGUUUAUGCACUUGUUGGUCUCUUCAUGUGGCUUCAUUCCCUGUCAAGAGUAUCUUAACUCAGAGAAGUCCUGGUAUUGAGUCUCUGACCUGUUCCUCCUUCCAAUAGAAGUCAUGCUUUGUCUUUGAAUUGACUAGUUCCACCAAGUUACAAUCAGCUUCCUUUUGGUCGGGGUGCUAGAUUUCUAGGUGACAUCUUUCUAGUUCAGACUUCAUUUUACCUUUUAUGAUGGGAGUUAAGAUUUUGAACUUUGUAAUUUUAUCUUUAUCAAACCCCUUAUUGGUGACAAGUGUUCUUUCGCUUGUCAAGUAAGUUUGUGUCUUGCUUUUUGACUCAGAAACAUGCUAAUCUUGGGCUAGUUUUCACCAUGAGCUACAAAAACUCUUCUAUAGGCUUCUCUGAUAACAUAUCUUUCUAAUUCUGUAGUAAAAUAAAGGAUUUCUAGGAUUCAAUUACAAUAAAUUCUGUGUUCCUUCUAGAAUUUCUCUCUCAAAAACUUUCAGCAUUUUUUACUUGCCUUUAUGAAUUAUAUUCGUAUGCAACAAUCUACAUCUUGAGCUGUGAUCUGGCCAGCACAAAAGUAGAGAUAUACUGGAUUCGCUGGUUCUUUAGAGGGGAUGACAUUACCGGUAUAUUUAAGCCAAAAGUAAUAUGUAAAAGUACCUUAUCUUUGCAUAUACUGCUUCUCUAAGGUAUUAAAUGAAAAGUACUGUGUUUAAGCCAAAACUACUAUUCCCCUUGUCAUUAUUGAAAGUGGUAUCCCAUGUAAUGUGACAGUAGCUAGACCCAGUUUGUUAUGUUCAUGAGGCCAUUUAUCAUUUAUUAAUUAUAAUAUGACAUUAUAAUUCUUUCAACUAUUAGUCACUGCUGAAUCAAUGUGUUAAGAAUAAUUUGCUUAGUAAAGUAUUUUAUAUUAAGAUGUCUUCUUUGCAGAAGGAUCGAUUAGUUGGUUAUAACAUAGUUUCUAUAAAACAUGCACUUCCAUAUCACACUUUGACUGAUGAAAUACCAAUAAUGAAUUUUGCUAACAUGAAGAUUCGAAAAGCAAGGGAUGCGGCUAAGAAAGCGCAGAAGUUGCUACAAAAUGUUUCCAACAGGAAGAAAAAUAAAGAAGUGGAAAAAGAUGGGCUGGUUAUUACAAAAGCGAUAUAUGGAAAUCUUAGAACAGCCAGAGGAACAGAAGAACAUCUUGAGGUGGAUGAUGAUGUAGCUUCACUGAUUUUAGAUGUUACAUUACCACUAAACUUCUUGGUGACCAACUCUCGGCUUGAGGUAUGUUAUGAAUAUCUCUUGUAAUUUGUUAUUGUAGGUUGAGCUCAUUUAACAUGUUUUACCCUUGUUAUAAACCAACAGGUCCAAAUUUAGCACAAAACAUGAAUGAAUACUUGAUGUGCAGCUAAGCAAUAUUUAUUGCAUGACAUUGGCAUUCAGACUUAGGUUGUUACAGGAGAGUUUAUGUCGGCAGAGGAUUAGGAAAUAAAUAGUCCAGUUCCUUUUAGAAGAUAUUUUUUACUCUUUGGUUUUUGAUGAAAUGACAAGGUACACUAGCUUGAGUCAGUGAAGUAAUUGUUUGAAAAUUUACUUGGAGGGAACAGUGUGAUAUUGCUUGGCAUAGAGUAUGGAAUGGAUUGGUAAAUGUAGACUAAACCUUACAGCCACCUGCUAAGAAGGUUAAGAUUACACUGAUGGUACCAUCAAGCGUGUAUAUCAGAAGUUUAACCAAGAUGUGUGGUUUUUUUUGCCUUGACAGCAAAUUGUUGAGUUAUCUCAUAAUAUGAUUUUUUAUAUAAGACAGCUAAUCCAGCUGCAUUGGAUUGCAGAACACCUCCAUCAAUUAUUAGCUUUUAGGCAGCAUCAGAUUUUUUUUUUACUUCAUAGGUUGUUACCAAGGUAUCCAUGUUCAUCAUAGCCUAAACAGAUAAUGGUGGGGGUUUCCUGAUAAUUUAGGUGAGUAUUGUGGGAUUAAAUGUCAUUUAAAGUUAGAUUGAUGUUGACUUAAAUGCCAUUUAUCUAUUCCUGCUUUAUUUUUUCAAUAAUUUCAACUGGUUCAGACUUCAAGUUAUGGAAUUGGACAAUGAUUUUUUUCCCUUUUAUCCGGAUGCAUCUUCAUUUUUACCUUUAAUAAAGACCACAAUUUUUUUUUUCCAAUCUUGAUGCAGCUUCAUAAAGGAAUAAAGAAGUCUGGCAUAAUGGGGUUUUGUGAUCCCUGUCCUGGAGAGCCGUCACAAUUACUAGUGGAAUACACAUUCAAGGGCAAGAACUACAAGGUUUUGGUUUUGUUGUAUUUGGUUAUUCAUAUUGGGAUUAUACUUUUAUAUUAAUCUUGUUGUUUUCCAUUGGGUAGGUAGUGGUUGAUGACUAUGACUUAUUGCGAAUCCCAAAUGAGACACACAGAAUCUGAGGCCUCAUUGUUGUUGGUGUUUGAGACAUCAAACAAUUUUGCAUGAAUUGAAAGUGGGUGAAAUAAAAGCCGCCCUCGUGCCGUUUUCCCAUACUUUUCAGUGUCUCAUGGCCUCUAUUUAGCUUAGAUUGUAGGAUAACUGAAAAGCAUGUUGAAUUGUAUCGUCCAUGUGAAUAUUGACUGUUGUUGGUCUUGAAGAUUUCAUGUCAGUGCAGGCAGAGUUCAAGUUCAUAUAGGCCAAAGGCAUAAUAACUACUGUGAUUUCUAAACUAUUCAUUCCUUCCUGUAUCAUCACAUAUGAUGUAUGAGUUGUUCCUGUAUUUUUCUGGGAUUUCAUUUUUAGAGGUAUGCAACAAAAAAAAAGAUCAAGCAUCUGUCAGUAUGUUGUCCAUCUUGCACAAACCUUAAUCAUCAGAAGUAGCCGAAGGAAGGUUGUUGUUUGUUUGUCUUGUGUGUGUGUGUGUUUGAUGGCAGUUGAUGAACUCUGCAACAUGUUUUCACAUUGUCAUAAGGAAUUAGACUCCGUGAAUGCUCAUAUUCAUUAGUGUCAUUUUACUGCAAAGAAUGAUUUCGAGUUAUAAAUAAUAAUUUAAUUGGUGAAAAAUGAAACAAACAGCCGGACCAGAAAUUAUUAUUAUAUCUUUGGUAUGAUUAAGAGGCUAAAUAACACUUACACAAAUGUACAUUAAAAUCCUUUAAAUUAAUUAUUCAUGUAGUUAAUACACUCAAACCUCGACCCUCCGUAAUUGUUGAUCACCAUAGUGACAUUAAAACUUCAAUCGACAUUAAUUUCUCUUCGAUUUGAAAUAUAAAUUUUAAAAAUUCUAAAUAAUAUACUCUUAACUUAGUAUUCUAUAUUCAAGUGUAAUAAGUGAAGUGGGAAAGGGCAUUUUAGGUAUUUAAAUCUUAAUAUUUUUAAAUCUAUUAAUAAUCACUCCCCUCUAAAAACCCACGGCCACCUCAAAUUAAACCCUAAUCGGAUUCUCCUCGACCCGAGGAGGGGCCAAUAAAACCUCAAUCGGAUUCUUCUUACCUCUCCUCAACACAACGAGGGGGACAAGAAAUUAUUCGUGACGCAUCUUUUCCUCUCCAUAGGCGAACGGCCGCGGCGGCAGCGUCUUCCUCCAGCGUGCUCGUCGUCGGUAUCUCUCACCUCCUCCUCCUUCGCCGUCGUCCAACUCUGCCGUAGCCGCCAGCGUCUUCCCCUCCCUCUUCUUCCACUUCUCCGCAGCGCUUUUCCCCUCCCUCUCUUGCCCCCACCUUCGCCGUAGCCACACGACUUCCCUUGUCUCUUCCUUCCACCCGCCGCCAGCGUCCCCUCUUCUUCGCGUUGUCGCAGCUGUCUUUCCCCCUUCCUCCCUGCGCCGACAGCCUCCUUCUCCUCCCUACGUCGGCGUCUUCCCUUCUCCUCCCUAUGCCGGCGGUUUUCUCUGUAGCAUCGUUUCACCCCCGCGGCUAGCGUCUUCUCCCCCUUCGCUACGCUGCGGCCGCCCGCCGGCUUCCCGACAGCCUCCUCCUCCCUCUUCCCCUCCCAACCGACGACAACCCACAGCGACCCAACUGACAACAAUCAGACAGCCACCCCGAUCGGUAGCAACUCUCUUCCAUAUUCGGACCCUUCAUCCUUGCUCUCCUCCCCAUAACCAACAAACCCCUUUCCGUCCUCCUCCUCCUUCUACGUUACUUAUUUUAUUAAUAUCAAUGAACAAUGUAAUUUGGUCUUUCUGUGUUUUUUUGUUUUUGUUUUUGUUUUAGUGAUUAUAUCCAUUAGUCAUGAUAUAUAUUUUUAAAAUUUUAAUAAUCGGGCUCGCCUUGCUUUGCACAGGCGAGUGCAUAGCACCUUGGGCGUUUUGGCCCCUUGGCGCCUUUUAGCGCCUCUCGCCUUUGAUUACAUUGGCCUUGAAUCGUUGUCUCAGGUCGGCAAUGACAACGGAUCAAGAACAAGCGCACAAGUCCCACCGAUCCCACAAAUCGGGGGCUUCCUCUAAGAAAAAGAAGAAGAACCACGGCAGUUCGGAGCUGGAUGCAAAGGAGCGGAAUCCCAAGGUUUUGGAAUCUGGGCGCCACUUUCUUUCUGUUUUAUUUUUGGAUUGUUUCAAGGGUUCUGGUCUCAAAUUACAGCUAUGUUUUCUGGUAGGCAUUUGCUUUUAAUUCAUCGGUGAAGGCCAAGCGUCUACAGUCCCGUGCUGCGGAGAAAGAACAGCGCAGGCUACAUGUCCCAACCAUCGAUCGUUCUACUGGAGAGCUGCCUCCUUUCAUUGUUGUUGUACAGGGGCCUCCCAAGGUAACAUUUUGACCCGGGAAUGUUGAGCACAAUGUCAUUUUUUUAACUAACUCUUGUAGAGGGAAUUUUAGAAGGUUGAAAUAUGUAGGGUGAUAAUGUAAUUUGCAGGUUGGGAAAUCCCUUCUGAUAAAGUGCCUGGUAAAGCACUACACAAAGCAUAAUUUAUCUGAAGUCCGUGGUCCAAUCACUGUUGUCUCAGGUUUAUAUACUUUUGUGUUUAUCUUUGGGCUUCCAUUUCAUUUUAUCUGAUUCUUAUAUGAAUUUUAUGUGGAAGUAAUAGAAGCUUGGUUCAUUCAAUUACUCCAGGAAAGCAAAGGAGGGUGCAGUUUCUGGAGUGCCCGAAUGAUAUUAAUGGCAUGAUAGAUGCUGCGAAGAUUGCUGAUCUUGCAUUGCUUCUAGUUGAUGGAAGUUAUGGUUUUGAGAUGGUAAGCAGGAUUAUAAUAUUUUUCUUUUGUUGACGAAAAAUACUUGAUGGACUAUAGUAUCAUGCUUUGCUAAACAAAGGUGUUUCUACCGAGGUUGAGUCCAUAGAUGUACUUUAUCUAACAGAGGGAUUAGCCUUCGGCAGUCUUCUUCUGUACACCCAGAAAACCCAUGUGAUGAAUGCUGCAGAUGAAGCAUUUCUUAGUGUGAUGGGCAUGUUAUGCUAGGUGUCAGGGAUUUAAUUGACCUAUGCUGGGAAUCCGAAAAGCCAAGAAUUCUGUAAAGUUAGAGAACUUUGUAUUGAUAUUGAUAACAGUUUAUCAUGUGAUUUUUUGGAAAAGCAAAUACCCACCAAGACACCAUCUGUUUCUUUCCCUUUUUGCUCCUAUAUUAAUUGGUACUCCAAUUAAAACAGGCAGCUCUUUGUCAUCAUUAUUGUGUUGUAUGAUGUGUAUUCAAUUUUCUUUUAUUCGUAACAAUGUUCAAAGAGGUUUCUUCAAACAUGUGGGCAACUGAUAUCCAUUUAGUAAGGAUUAACCACUAGAUGGGGGCUCCUAGUCAUUUUUAGUGAAAAGCAGUAUUUUGAAGUUGCUGUUAAUUUAGAAGUAUUGGUGUGAGGUGCAAAUUAUAAUACUAUAGAGCUUUGAAAGAUCUGCAAAUAGUUAAGAUGAUUAUUUUUUUGAUCAUGAAUUGCUACUAAGUACGAUCUUUAAAAAACAUCUAUGUUAACAGAAUAAAGUUCUGAGGUGCUGAAGAUUUUAUAUUAUAAAACAUUCAGAAAUUUUACAUUUUAUUUGAAUGUUGUAUAUUCUAAAUCUCAUUUAGAUCGGAUGGAAUCAUAUGCAAGUCACAGCUCUACAAUAUGGUUCUGAAUAUUUCAUUUUUCACAGUGAAAUAGAAUUUAGUAUGUCGAGACAAUUAAUUUUACAAAUGUAUAUGAAACAUAUGAAGAUAUUUCCUUAUUCAGUUUUGUCAUUAUUAUGGUUUCUAUUUACUCCUAAGAAAAAAUCUCACCUGUUAAGAAAGGUGUACGACUGCAAAACAAAGAGUAUAAUACUGUUUUCUUAUAUAUUCUGGAUAUGUCAUGCUUAUAUGCUCAAGUUCACUUGCCUCUUACUGUCUCAUUGGUGGUUAUGAUUAUAAAUUUGAAAAUCUUUCUUUUCAGGAAACUUUUGAGUUCCUUAAUAUCUUGCAAAUUCAUGGUUUCCCAAAAGUUAUGGGAGUUCUUACACAUAUUGACAAAUUCAAGGAUGUUAAGAAACUGAGAAAAACUAAACAGCGGUUAAAGCAUCGAUUUUGGUCUGAGAUUAAAGAUGGUGCAAAAUUGUUCUAUCUAUCAGGUCUUGUUCAUGGGAAGUAAGUAACACUCAAAUUAGCAUAUUACUUUUGAUAUCCUGUUUCCCUUAUAAUUAUGGUAUUUUGAGAAUCUUACUUUUUGAUGAUUCUGAUGGUGCCCUAGGCGCACCAAGGAGUUGUUUAUUGUUGGUCUCAUCGGUUGAACAUCACAUGCGCAAACCCUACAACCAUGCACAUGUUGGAUUGUUCAAAAUAAGCAUGUUACAUAGGAGUUGUUUAUGUAUACCCAUGCACAUAUGAAACCUUUCAUACUUGUGAAACUAGUCUUGGAUUAGAUGGUUCUAUCACCCACUGUUUUUGUAGAUGUUUCAAAAUGAUGUGCAUUGUUUAAGAUGAUUUACAUGCUCUAUAUCACAUAUGAAAUUCUUCUUUUGAAGGCAUUGCCUAUUCUUUGUUUUGGAAGAUUCAGUCUAUUUUUUCAGAUGAUCUGAUGGAUGUGCAAGAUCCCUUUCAAUCUUCUUUCUUGUAUGUGUAUCAGUUUAAAUUUGUAAAUUUUCUUGAAAGGGCAGGAUUUUUUCUUUGAAAUCACUUACGUCUAUCUGUUUGAUCUGAUCGGCUAUCUUUUAUGGUAGUCUUUAUGUACAAUCCUAUUCACUGAAUGUAUGCUUAUUCUUUAUUCUUUUACAUGACAACAGGUAUCCUAAACGUGAAACUCACAAUCUUGCAAGAUUCAUCUCAGUCAUGAAAACCCAACCAUUAUCAUGGAGGUCUUCUCAUCCUUAUAUAUUGGUUGACCGUUUUGAAGAUGUCACUCCCCCUGGAAGAGUGCAUACAAAUAAUAAAUGUGAUAGGAACAUCACAUUGUAUGGUUAUCUUCGAGGUAGCAAUAUGAAGAAAGGCACGAAGGUAUUCUUUCCAGCCUCUUGUUACCUGGUUCUCCUGAAUGAUUCUGCUGUGUAGUUUUUCGUGUUAAAAUGAUUUUCUUACAUCUUAACAAAUUAUCAUGUGGAAUUUUAUUUUUUAAUUUAUUUGUAAAAAUAAUUUUAUGCUUGAGUUCUGUUAUUGUCUUUUGCUACUCUUGUUCUCAAAUUUUCAGUUCUUUGAUGGAUAGUAAACACGUCUGUGAUGUCUACCUGAGUUAGAUAUUGGUAGAAGAUAUAUUAUGACAUUUUUUUAAUAAGAAAGUAUGGAAUCUUUUAUCAUCUCAAAGAAUAACCACAAUCCACAGUCUUAAAACCAGAUGCACAAUUAAAAAGAAAAGGUACAACUAACAUUAGCACAUUUGUCACAUAUCUAUGGCGAUAAUUUUUUGUGAGCAGCCAUAAAUUUUGGGAGGAGAGGGGUGGCAAGAAGGGAAGAAAAUAAAUGGGUGGCAGAAUUGGGUGUCCAAGGGCGAGCGAGUGAUUGUGCAGUGGAUUAAGUUCAGCAGAAUUGGGUAUAAUUAUAAUAGAGUCAGUACCUCACAUUCGUUGGGAUCAAUGUUAGCUAUCUGUAACUGAGUUAUUGUGAAUUUCAAAGAUAUAGAGCUUGUCCAUAACAAAGAUUUAACAUACAAUUUUUCUCAGUGUGGGAAACAUGUUGGCUAAUCAUAAUAGAUUGAGCAAAGUGGAAAACAAAAAAAAAAUGUUAUUUGUCUGUCUAUGGUUAACAUGAUGCUUAGCCCAUUUUCAUGUGGGACGAACUACCACCUAACAUAUUUUUGAUCCCUUGUUGGGUGUGAUUGCUGAAGGUGGAGGGUGAGGCUUGAGUAGUAAAUUGUUCAACUUAGGUUUAAGAUUCACUGGUAUUCACUGUUUGUCGGUCUGGGUAAACAAUGAGGACCGAUAUUAGGAUUUUUUCUGUCUUAGAAACAUUUUGGAUCAAACCUGAAAAAUUAGAUAUGGUAUAAGUCAGCCAUCGAGGUUAUAGUCCCUCUACCCACUCAGAACCUCAUGCAAGUUGAAUAAAAGUGAAAUUCUAAAUUUGUUGGUAUUUUAUCUUGGUAACAAUGACUAAGAGUCUUAUUUUAGGAAAUUUGUCUGUCUGUCUGUCUCAACUCAACAUAUCGGAUUAAACAUAAAAAAUCAUGGUAGAUGUGAACCAUUAAUUGGGAUUUUAUUCCCUCUUGCCUCUUAUAACUUUGUGCUAGUCAGAAUCUAUUGCUUGCUAUGAAGAAUUUAUAUUUUACAUAUGAUCUACAAGAGUAUGAAGAUAUCCAUAUGUGGAUCUACGAUCUAUGAUCUAUUUUGCCUUGAAUUGUGUUAAACAAUUUUGUUUGUGUAGGCUCUAUUGUGUAACUUCUGAUUCAAUAUUAUUAAAUUCCACUAUUCUACAAGGUUGCCGUAGAAAUAAGUUAUCUGUUCAUUUUAUUGUCAUUCAAACUAGAAAGAGAAAGAGCCUUUUGUCCUAGAAGAAAAUAGAAGGGAAGUAAAGAUUUUAAUAUUUUAUCACUAUAAUUAUAAGAGAAAGUAGCUAAGUGCUCCCACGGCAGUGACAAGGUCUUGUUUGGAGAGAUAAAACUCUGCUAAUCUAAGCAACUUGUAUUUUCAUCAAUUCCUUAAUAACUUUUGCCUGUAUUUCUCUACAAUUAUUUGUUAAUUUUUUGUUACUGCUAAGGUCUGUGGUUGUUUCCGGGCUUGUCAUGGUACAAAAGCAUGAUGGAUUGCUGCUCUUAUCAGUGAUUUUGUUGCAUGAGCUGCCAAGAUUAUGCGAAAUCCUGUUAAGCAGUGUUAGGCACCAUAGUCAAUUGUCCUCGGCUCAUGUAGAGAUGAUAUCUUGAUCAUUCUCAUUAUUUCAGUGGAUCUGUUAUCAUCGGUAGCGUUAGGGUAGCUUAGUCAUCCAUUAGGAUUGGUGUAAUAGCUUGGAAUUUCGUGUAGGUGUCUUAUAGUGGGUCGGCCAACCCUUGGUAGUGCUUUUGCAAGGACACGAUGAUGAUAAUCCAAUGAUUAGAUUUGUGGUUGUUGCACUAGAUUUUUGUGGUUGCCACAUUGUUGUAGUUUCAAUUUUAUUGCAUGGGGAAUUAUUUUGAUGUUAACUUUUUGCAUGGUGUUGUUACUGGAUAGACUACUGUUCACUCUACUCCUAAUAGGAAAUGGAAGAAGAGUAUUCCUUUCUGCUUGGCAUCAGUUUGGACCAUUGCCUAUUCUUUCUGGUGGUUGGACGUCUCAAUUUUGGAUCUCAAUUUCAUCCAAUUUCAGCUCUUAGUUCUACCUGAUUGUAAUAGGACUUGACAAUCAUAUUUUUUGGUUAGAUGAGGACUGCCUAUAGACCAGGUUGUGGCUGUCUUACGUCUGCUUGGACCCAAUGCUAAUUUGAGCAAGUCAAUUGAUCUGAAUCACUAAUUCUCUGGUCUUGGAUGGGCUGGGCUGGACUGAACUUGCACUGCUAAGUAUAUUUUAUAUUUUUGGUUUUUCACCUGUCAAAUAUUUAUUGUACAACAUAGUGAGGAUCUGAUACAGGAUUAAGACAUUGAUAUUUGACCUAUUCUGAAUAUAUUCAAGAUGUUUGACCAAUGUGCUGUAUAUUAUGCAUCUUCAAUUAAGUUAAGAACAAAAACUGAAUAAAUAAGAUUGGUUUCUUUUGGGUUUUGAUAGUUCUUACUCUUUAUGUUGUCUUAUUACAAGAAUAGUUAGACAUAUGUCCCAUUAAGAUGAUAUUUGUACUAUUUUUAAAUUGUUGUGUUUUGGAUUGUUAAUCACUGGUCCACAUUUGUCUGCUGAUGAGUUAAUCUUAUAUGUUCAAUUAUGGCAGGUGCAUAUUGCUGGUGUUGGUGACUUUGCAUCAACUGGAAUAACUAGUCUGGCUGAUCCCUGCCCUUUGCCUUCAGCUGCCAAGAAGAAGGGACUGCGGGACAAGGAGAAACUAUUCUAUGCACCCAUGUCUGGUCUUGGGGAUCUUCUUUAUGAUAAGGAUGCUGUUUAUAUAAACAUUAAUGAUCAUCUUGUUCAAUUUUCUAAAGUUGACGAAGAUACUAGUGCUUCUGGGAAAGGUAGGUAUGCUAUAUAUGUUGAAUUAUAUAAAAUUUCUACUUUUAUGGCAGUGUUGGAUUAUUUUGAUUGCUACAUCUUUCAUAUGGGUAUGUAUUUUUGACAUUUUCCUAAAUUUUUAUCUAAAUUUUGGAGUGGCAUUCCUAGUAAAAUUAUAUGACCAGGACAUAUAAUUGAUGUUCUGUAGUCAAGAACUGUUCAGCAUACCUAAAUUUCUUCAUAUAUGUUUUUUGAUCUGAACUUCAACAAACAAAUUUUCUAGUAUUUGAUGUUCAGUGCUCUUUUACCUUAUCAUCAAUAAAUUAAUCCAGAAAUAGGUGAACUUUUCUCCACUAAUCAAUGAGAAAGUUAUAGACUAAAAAAGCUUCAUUUUUGUAUUUAGAUAAUUUAGAAUCUAAGAGUCACAAAAAUCAUGGUACAACUGGAUAAUGUAGUUUUAAGCAAGGAUUGAAUUUUGGGUCUGUGCUAGUGUACUGACACAUGGUAUCCUAGCACAUAUCACGUACCUAAAAAGGUCUAUCGAAAACCUUUCAGAACCAUCUUUCUCAACUUUUCUUGACAAAAACAAUUAAUAUUCAUAGCAUUGAAGUGGUUUCAAUAUAAAAAAUAAAAAAAUACUAAGUUAAAACAUAUAUUGAAUAAAAAUCAAUGGUAGUGUCUAAAGAUUAGAUUUUACGGAAAGAAUAAAUUUAAUGUAGAAUAAAACAUAUACAUGCUCCUACCACGAAAAUAAUGAGGGUCUGUACACAAACUGUAAAUCGAUAUGGUAUCUGCAAGAUUCAUGCAUGGAACUGCUGCCAUGACGUCUGACAUUGAUAAUAGUGUGGUAGCACCCAUGUAGUUGGGAGGUGUAUCUGACAAGUAGGACUAAUCUAUAGGAUGAAGUGCACUAAAGUUGCUGCUCUUGUUACUAUACUGCUGUUGCAUACUGGAGGAUAUAUCCAACUCUGAAAAAAAAUGAUCAACUUUCACCAUGCAUCUCCUGGCCAGGAUAGUAGGAAUGAUAUGAAUAUGAUGAAUUCAUCUUUUCAUGAUCAUUAGUUGUCUUCAUCUUACUUUUAUCUUGGCGGGGAUAAAUUAGGUGUGUACCUCCUUAUGCUCUGUGAUUCAUAUCAUGUAUGACAUUGAAAUACUGCUUCUUGGUCCGUGCCUCACCCGUCAUAUAUGAAAAAAGUUUGAAGUCAUAGAAUCUGUCUGGAUCUUUUAGGUGGAGUUUUAAACAGGAGUUAGAAGAGUAGAUGAUGUAAAAUUAAAGUAGUGAAGUUUUACUGGUAUUCAACACUAUAUUGGUCUUUCUUCUUUUUCUAGGUGAGCCAGUUUUUAUGUAUUUAUUUGUGAGUCAUUAUGAGUUUAUGAAUGAAAAAUGCUGACUAUUGUACAAAGAAUCAAUGCCUUAGUUAUUAUUCCUAUGUAUCUAAUGUGUUACAGCAGCUAGUAUAUUUUUCCUUUUCUGUGGCAGUGUGACUUCUACCCUUCACUUUCACUAUGGUCUUAUGAAUCUGUUUAUCUUUGAUUACUUGUUGGGUUGAUUUUGCUGGACCUGUACUAAACAAUAAUUGAGAUUACCAUGUUCCUUGUGUAAAAAAGGUUCCAAAGUCAAUGCCACUUUGAGGCCAUUAGUCAUACUAAGUCAAGGUUCGGUGUUGAAGCAUUUUUUUCCCCCCUUUUUUGCUCCUACCUUUUACAUAAACUAGCCCGUAUAUGAUCCAUGUAUUGUCAACCUUUCCAAAAAUGGGACCGAGAGCUUAUGGUCACUGCUUUCAUCUAUUGUGAAAUCAAUUUUUUUUUCGGUUGCAACCCUUUUUUUAAGCUCCCUUUAUGCAUGUUUUGAUAAUUUAGGAGCUGGGCAUAUUGAUAUUACUGUAGUCAUUAUCGAGAGCAGCAGAUGCUCAAAUUUUGUGUCAUCCACCUUUAUAUAUCAUUGAAGUCUUAUUUGUUUGAUUUCUUGUUUAGUCCAGCCGAAAUCAAUUUUGCAAAUAUUUUCAUGCAUGCUAAGUGCAGAAAAUACUAGGUCUGGUUUGUAGGAACCCUGGCUAUAAUUCCCAUUAACAACUUGAUAAGCAUACUUUAAGGGUUAAACAUGAUUAGUGUUGAAAACCAAAGUUUAUAAUGUGCCAGUCUACAUCACAUAGAGGAGGUAAACAAGUGUUCCAGUUUGUGCAACUGCAUUCUACCCCUACCAGUAAACUGGAAUACUUAUAGGUUACAGAUUCAUUGUAGGCUGAUUAGUGUAUAAGAUUCAGCUUCCAAGUUGGCCAUUUCUAGAUAAUGCCAGUCACAAAAGCUGAUGAUAUGUGUUUUAGUUUUUUGUCAGCUAAAUAAACUUUUACCUAAUUCUUUUGAAAACUUCAUUAGUUGGACAGAUCUUCCAUCUUCUCCUGUUGAUUUCUUAUCUCACAAAUUUUUUUCUUUGUGAUUUUUGCUCAAUUUUAUAAUAAAUGCCUUCAGGAAACGAUCGUGAUGUUGGUGUGGCCUUGGUGAAAACACUUCAGAACACUAGAUACUCCAUUGAUGAGAAGUUGGAACAGAGUUUCAUAAAUCUUUUUGGUAGGAAACCCCCUUCUGCAUCUGAUGAUAAUGUUGAUGCAAAUGAAAGUAGGUAUAGUCAAAGACAUGUUAGCAUCCUGGAUCGAGAGGAUGAUGAUCGUUUGGAUGACAAAGAAGUAUCAGAUGAUGAUGGGAAAAAGGAGCUCAUUGCAGAAAGUGAAUCUGAUGAUUCUGAUGGGGACAACAAUUGUACCAUGGAUGAUGAUCAUGAAGGUGAUCAACAGAUAACAGCAUUUAGCCACGAUCUGAAGGAAGAAAUUGAGUUCCAUAAUGGAAGGUUCAGGAGAAGAGUUAUUUCAUCUGACUAUAAAUAUAAUGGUGAUCUGCAGGUAAACUACUACCUAUGCUGUUGGUUUUUCUUCUGUCAAUUGGUUCAUAGAUUCAGGGAAAAAUGUGAUAGCAAUUUAACAGAGACUAGAGAUUGGACCUUGGGUACAACAUGACAGUUAUUCUGCAUCAAACAUUUUUUCUUGAAGUUGCUAGAGAAGAGAGAUACAUGAAACAUGGUGAAUCAUUUGUAGUUUUCUAAUUGAUACUGCUGCAUGUUUUUUGUGACAAUCUUAAUUUUUUCUCGUCGAUUCUUGAUCCUUUUCGUUCACUUUAAUUUAUUUGCUUGUCGAUUUUUAACUUCUCUUCAUUCUUUCUUAUGAAUAACUGCAGUAACUACUAUAUAAGUACUAAUUGUUGUUUGGCGUUUUUCUGUUAGUUGCACUGUACAGUGAAAAUUAUCUGUGUAAAAGCUACAAAUCAUUUGCUCUGUGUCAAGAUGAGGUUUCUUUUCAGAUCUUUACAUAUUUAUUGUCAACUAUACUAUCACCACUUGAACAUGAAAAUCGCCGAGGAAUAUUAAUUGAUGGUGAUACUGCUUGUUUACUGUUUUGAUUAUAAUAAAAGGUUGAACUGUAAUCAACUGUUAUGUUUUGUAGACAACGUUCAAGUAAAUCUUGAAAAUUUUUAUAGAGGCAUCAGCUGAUACAGCCUUUUCAUGCAAAAUAAUGGAAAUAAAGUUGAAUAGCCAUUCAUAAUCCUGUAACAAUGGUUUUUGUUUUUGUGUGGGUCUUGAAUAUAUUUCUGCUUGUUGGGACAUUAUGGCUUCUUGUCCUUGUUUUUGUGUGAACAAAAUUGCUUCUUCACUACAUCUGGUUUCUUCAUAACAUGAACUCAUUGUACUCUACAGGAGGCUAACACAAUUCUCUCUGUAAGAUGGAUAGUUUUUGUUUUUCUGUAGUGCCAGUUGAUCAGCUCUGGAACGUUAUAUGGGUUCAGUUAUAUAAUUUUGGUUUGCUGGUGAUUUCUUUUUGGAUUAAGACACUCUUUUUGUUUCCAUUGAGCUUGGCCUUUUUCACAACUUCAGAAAGAUCUCGAGCUGUGCUUGUAUUGUUUUGAUUGAAGGUGAAUCUGGCUGGUUUAUGCCAAAUAUUAUAAAAAUCUUAUUGAUAGGUUAGGCAUAUGCUAGUUUCAUCAUAUGCCCGUGCAUGUAACUAUGUGAAGUACAUUCAAUAGCAAGGUUGGUACUUUUGAGUAAUUAAUUAUUGAUAGGUUGGGUAACCAAGAAACACCCUCAAGAAUUAGCUGAAGGCUGAGAAAUGCUUCUGACGACCACUUUAUUAAACCAUUUUUUAUUUAACGAGGUUAGUUCUCUUUGAAAAACCAUCCAAUAUUUUGGUUGGUCAAAAAUUCCAAUACUAUUUUACCAAAUACGAGAAAGAAUUGCAUAUAAUGAUACCAAAUACUAUUUCACCAAAUACAGAUUGGUACACUACCUGGUAUACUGGGACCGAGCUGGUCUGAUAGAUUACUAAAAUUGAUAUUGGACUGACAUUUAAAUCCUUGACUUCAGUCUUCGAAAAUCAUUCUCAUAUUAAUGGCACUCAAAGUUUAAUGAAAUACUUUGUUUUCUUACCUUGUUUGUGAUGAGAGACAAGCUUGAAAGACAAUAUUGGAGGUUCACUUGUGGAAAAGCAAUAUUUUAUUGAUUAAAUUUGAGUAACAACAUUAUUGACUUUUAGUUUCUACAAUCCUUGAUCUGUUAGACUAAAUUUCCAUUCAUGAGUUUUCAUAUAAAAAUGUUAAAUGCAGAAAAUUAACCAUUAUGUUCAGCUUUAUCAUGGAGCUAAUGAGCCAUCACGUACAAGCAGAUGUAAUAACUCCAUGUAAAAUUAUAUAUAUGGACAAAGGAGCAUUUGCACUUUUAUACAAAUCACUUUAAGCACUUAGGUUAGAAGUAACUUUCUCUGUUCUCGUUCCUCAAUAAUUUCCUUUGUUUCUUGCAUAAGUACACAAACAUUGGGUGGAUAAUAAAUUUGGUUAAUCAAUUCUGUUUUAUGAUUUGAGUGAUUUAGCAAUUAGCUGCUUUGUUUCUGCAGGUCUGACAUUUAACCUUUUUUUGCUUCAGGACUCUGAAGGAGAUGACAUGCAAGAAUUGGAUGAUGACGAUGACGAUGAUGAUGAUCUGGGUGAUCAUAUGGAUGUUGGUUCUGAAUCUUCUGAAGGUGAUGAGGAUUUGAAUUCAGGUACGUAUGAAGCAUAUAGCUUUUUUUUUUCUUUUUUGAUGCAAAAGCAGUGGAGCUGUCCUUAGCAUAAAUCAUAUAUUAUAAGCACAGUAAGGAAAGAAGAUAAGAUGAGGGAGAAGAGUCAACGAAGGAAAAUAAAAAUAGGCACCUGCAAAUAGGUUUGCUCCCUGAAAAACUAUUAAAAAUGUGCCCUGAUGCUUUGGUAGAAGUGUGCAGGAAGUCUCUGAACCAAGCAAGGCUACACUUAAGUAUGUCGGAGGUCUCGCAAAAAACACCACUGUGAAUAUGUUAUUUAUUUAUUUUUUCAUGUUGUCCAACAGAGAUGGAUGAUGAGACCAAUUUUAGAAUUCCAUAUGGGAAAGAAGUGAAUUUUUCUGAUGGAGAGAAAGAAUCGGAAGAUUAGUAGGGAACAAUGGUAUUAGUUGAACAGAGGGCAUUCUGAAUCUUGUGAGCUACAGGAGAACACAGAAGGAUGUGAUCAAUCAUUGCAAAUUGGGCUGAGCAAAGUGAGCAUGUCAUCCAGCAUCCUGAGGAAUACUUGCCUUGAGUGAGUUUUAUUUUUGAUAUUGAGCCACAUGAAUCAUUGACCUCUAGGAAUGCUGAGGCUUUUCCAAAUAUGGUAAAUGCACAAAAACAGCCUUUGAAUUUUAGGAGUUUACUGAAGGAUGCCAUUGAUAAGUGGGCAUUGGGGUUCUAUUCCGAAGAUGGUUUCCAGAUUAAUUAUGAGGAAGAGAAGGGAAAUGACUUGGAUUUAGAUAAGGGGUUCCAUUCCAUAGAUAAUGCACAAUAUCUGUAUAAUGUCUGAUGCACAAUAUCUGUGUAAUGUCUGGAACUAUCAUGCUUCUGAGUGAGGAAGCCACAUUAACAGUGGGAUAAUGGAUGCAAUUAAUUAAUGCAGUGAAGAGAUAGUCAAGGUGAAAGACUUGGGCCAUGCAUCUUUUCAGGAAUAAGUGAGAGGAGACUAUGAAAGUUGUUUGACGUUUAGGAUUCCUUGCCAUAUUCGAGAUAGCUGGCCUAUGACCUUGGAGUUAUCCAGAAGAGCCUGCUUUGUUAAUAUUCUCAGAAAAAGAGACUAACGCCUUCCAUGUAAAUGUGCCUUUGGAAAGGGCUAUCUCUUACCAUUUGGCCAGUAAAGCUGUUUGGUUAUUUCUAAUUAUUGUUAGUUUGUUAUCAGGGUCGAGAUUGAGCAUAUAGUUCUUUUUGUUUAACCAUUAAGUGUAGUUCACUUAUUGUUCUUUCAUGAACUUCAUCUGGAUUUGGUUGCCACAAGUUCCAUGACUAAAAUGUUGGUUGAGAAAGCUUUCAUUUCUACUAAAUGUUUAUGCAAACUAUGAUGAGGAAUAUAAAAUCUCACAAUCAUUCUACUUUUCUCAAUUUUGCAUUGUAGAGGAUGAAGGAGAAAAUGUGUCCAAGUGGAAAGAAUCAUUGCUUGCUAAGACUGUGUCAAGACAAAAUGGUAACUUAAUGCAACUUGUAUAUGGCCGAAAUGUAACGGCAUCAACAACCACUUCACAGGAAGCACAUGACAGCAGUGAGAGUGAUGACAGCGAUGAGGAUUUUUUUAUGCCAAAGGGAGAGAGGACAAAGGUAUCUUGAUGAUGCUUUAUACAGAUUUGUUUGCAUUGUUUGUUUUCUAGAAAUUUGCUGUCGUUUCUGUGAAUACAGUUAAUUUGGCUAGGUUGUUUAAAAUGAUUCCUUUAAAAUCAUUGUCUGCAGAAAUUAAGUGAUAAUUUAGAUGUUGAUAUUGUCGAUACGGAAGAUAGCUCAAAGUUCAACAACAUUCAACUCAAAGACUGGUCUGAUGAAGACCUUGUUAAAAGUAUUCGCGACCGUUUCGUAACAGGAGAUUGGUCCAAGGCUGCUCAAAGGGGUCUCGGAACAGAAGAUGUGGGAGAUAAUGAAACUGUUUUUGGUGAUUUUGAAGAUUUAGAAACUGGAGAGGUGUUCAAGGGAACUCCAGAAGAUAAUGAUAAAAGUAGUGGAAGCUUUCGCAUGGGAGAUGAACAAGAAAUGGAGGAGCGAAGACUUAAAAAGCUUGCUCUACGUGCAAAAUUUGAUGGUCAAUAUCCUUUUUUUCCUUAGCUGUUGCUUCUAUUAUUUAUUAUUAUUUUUUUAUAAUACUUGGACAAUUAGAUGAAUAACAGCUGAUAGUUAGUCACUGCCAGAGGCCCAUCUCUCUUAGUUCUUAUUGACAUUUCUUUCAAUGUCUAAAAAGGAUCCUCUUUGUCUUUUGCUUCUUGUGCUGAAAAAAGGUGCACAUUGUUAUGUCUGCCUUAACUUUGACCUACAGAUGAUGGAUCUGACCUAUCAGACGAGGAAGAACAUAACAAAAGGAAAAUCAACCAAAACCAAACUGAUGCUGGGGGUUAUUUUGAUAAAGUAUGCUUAUUUGGUUUAUACAAUCCUGGCUUUCAUUAAUGAUAGGACUUUGAAGAUGUAUUUUUUUUUGCAGUUAAAGGAAGAGAUUGAGCUCCGUAAGCAGAUGAACAUAGCUGAACUCAAUGAUCUGGAUGAGGCAACUCGUGUAGAAGUGGAGGGCUUCAGAAUUGGCACUUAUCUGAGAUUAGAAAUCCAUGGCAUUCCUUUUGAGAUGUUUGAGUAUUUUGAUCCUCGUCAUCCUAUUCUAGUUGGAGGCUUUGCACUUGGAGAGGAAAAUGUUGGAUAUAUGCAGGUUCUUGCAUGCCUUCAAUGUCUAUAUGAUUCAAUGUGGUUAUUUUAUCUUUGGGCUUCAGAGUUGGUAAUCAGUGCUGAAUUGCUAUGCUCAUCUGAGAAGCUGAUUACUCUUUGAAUUGAGAUAUUUAGCUGUACUUUUAAGCAAAGGAUUGUCAUGUUAGAUAUUGGACCCGUUUCGAUGUUCUGGUCGAAUUGGUAGGUAUUGGUCAGUACCAGUUUAUCAUGUGUUGGUACAUAUUGAUGUUUGAGAGAGGAAGAUAAAGGAGAAGGGGUACACCGUUAUAUAUAUAUAUAUAUAUAUAUAUAUAUAUAUAUAUAUAUAUAUAUAUAUAUAUAUAUAUACUACACACACACACACNNNNNNNNNNNNNNNNNNNNAUAUAUAUAUAUAUAUACACACACACAUACACACACACACACACACACACACACACACACACACACAUAUAUAUAUAUAUAUAUAUAUAUAUAUAUAUAUAUAUAUAUAUAUAUAUAUAUAUAUAUAUGUAGCCAACCCUGAACAGCUUUGUUGUUGUUGUAUGUGUAUAUAUGUAGUUCAUGGUCAAUUGUAGUGGCAUUUAUGUGAACAUGUGGCCUACAAUGUCUUUAACACUAACUUUAAUUGUCCGUUUUUCCUUAUUUCUCGAUGCUUGCCUUUGUUCAUUCCAUUACCAUUAACAAAUGGUUAAGUUAUUAUCGUGAAUAACAAAUUUAAUGUUGAUUUAUCGCUGUGAAAUCAUUAUUGAUUCUAUUAUCUAAUAUAUGUAGUUCUCCUUUUUGGGCAUUUAGGACAGGAUGCUUGGAUUCUUUAGUAUUAGAUGCUGCAAUAUGCAUUCUACAUAAUUUGCUGUGUUUGGUUUGUUUUUAUUGAUAUCUUCUGUUAUAUUACAGGCUCGAUUAAAGCGGCACAGAUGGCACAAAAAGGUCCUGAAGACAAGAGACCCAAUUAUCAUUUCAGUUGGUUGGAGGCGGUACCAAACAAUUCCUAUAUAUGCUAUUGAGGAUCGAAAUGGGCGGUAUCGCAUGCUGAAAUACACGCCGGAGCAUAUGCAUUGCUUGGCGAUGUUUUGGGGACCUCUUGCACCUCCUAAGACUGGAAUACUUGCUCUACAGACCUUGUCAAACAAUCAGGUACUUGUUUUUACUUUUUACUAUAUGGAAUCUACUGUAAUAUAUUGCAUUAGGUAGUCAAUAAUUUCUUAUCAAUUGAUAUUAAAAUUAGGGCACUAGGUGUGGAAUAUGUCAGCAAGAUACCUUUUGAUUAUAAUGCUAUAAAUAGGGUUGAUCUUGGUAUUGCACAGACAUGGACUUAUGAUUUGUAUAGGACAUUCUAAUACCCUCACGUGGUUACACACCUGAACAUGCAUGUGUCUAUCACAUGAGGGAAAAAAAGAACUCACUGUUCCGUUCUUGUUUUGAAGUUUUUUUUUGCUGAAAGCUGCAUUUUCAACAGACUGGAUUCCGCAUCACCGCUACAGGUGCAGUGCAAGAGUUCAACCAUGCUGCUCAGAUAAUGAAGAAGGUCAAGCUUGUUGGUGGUCCAUUGAAAAUCUUCAAAAAAACAGCACUAAUUAAAGACAUGUUUACUUCUGACUUGGAAAUUGCUAAAUUCGAAGGUGCAGCAAUUCGGACUGUAAGUGGUAUCCGAGGGCAGGUUAAAAAGGUAAAUUAUUUUGCAUUUGCAAUUUCUUUUAUUUGGGUGUGUUAUUUCUGCUUUGUUGGUUAUCUUUCUGCUCAUCAAUUAGUCGAUGACAUUGCAUUCUCUCUUUCAUGUGGAGGUUCCUAUUUCAGUCUUCCAUUCAGAUUAUCCUGGACUUUAAAAUGCUAAGAAAAAAAUUCUGGCUUAAGUUGUCAUAGUGAUUUCAAUAGGCGCUCGGGCACUCGCCUAGGCGCUCAGGCGAGGCGUGGCGAGGCCCGAGCUCCUCGCUUCAUUUCCAGGCGGCGCGCUUCAAAGAGGCACCGCUUGGGCGCUCGCCCGAGCCCAGGCCCCGGGCACUUCGGGCGAGCGCUUGGGUUAAACCAGGCGAGCGAACUAGCGUUUGAGGUAUGGUUCAGUCUCCGGUGCUUUAGUUGGUUCAAUCGAACCAACUAAAGCAUUGAUAUCAGCAUGACUUCCCCAACCCUAACCCUGCUCGCCGUUCACGCUACUGCUGCUCGUUGCCGCUGCUGUUGUUGCCGCUCGCUGCUACCGCUGCCGGUCCCACUAUCGUCGCUCGUCGUUGCCGCUGUCGUUGCUACUAUUGCCAUUGUCUCCGCUCGCGGCUUUCGCUCCCGCUGCUCGCUGCUACCGUUGCCACUGUCUCUACUCCCGCUCCCGUUGUUGUCGGUGCCAUUGUCGUCGCUUGCCGCUCCCGCUGUCGCUACUGCUACUCGCUGCUGCCGUUGCCACUGUCGUCACUCGUAGCUCCCGCUCCCGCUUUUCUCAAUCAACACUCUCGGUCUUUCGACUCUUCCCUUACACUCUUCUCCUCUUUCGAUAGUAUACUAUUAACAGUAUACUGUAUACUAUUAACUGUAUACUAGUAAUAGUAUUUGUAUUUAUUAGAUUAAUUUAAUAGCAUGUUUUUAUUUAAAAAUAUAAAUAAUUAUAUUUAUUAAUUAUAUUAUAUAUUUUUAUAUUUUAGCGCCUAGCGCCUCGGGCAUUUUUGGACUUUGGCGCCUAGAGCUUUUUAAAUCACUGAGUUGUCAUGAGUAAUUCUUUUUACAUGAUAUCUUCUGCAUUCCUCUUCCUCCCCCCCCCCCCCCCCGACAGUUGCCUUUUGUUUUUAUAUAAUUUGAUUUUAAAAUUUUAUUAAAACUUGCAUUGAAUUACUUUGUUACUAUAGGUAAUCUGGUUGUUUCCUUCAAUUUAUCACUGGGAUCUUGACAUGGAAAUUGCUUUCCUACAGUGCAUGUGUGUCACUUUACUUUACAUUCUUAUUUUAAUUGUUUGUUGGUUAUCUACAAUUCUAAAUUUUGAUGGCAGGCUGCCAAGGUAGAAUUAGGCAACCAACCAAAGAAAAAGGGUGAAAGUGUAAAAGAAGGGAUCGCAAGGUGUACAUUUGAAGACAGAAUUCUGAUGAGCGAUAUCGUUUUCCUGCGUGCGUGGACUCGUGUAGAGAUUCCACGCUUCUAUAACCCUGUGACAACAUCCCUGCAGCCUCGAGACCAGACAUGGAAAGGCAUGAAAACAGUAGCUGAGCUCAGACGGGACAACAAUCUUCCAGUACCAUUCAACAAGGAUUCAGUUUACAAGGUGCCUAGUUUGUUUUCUCAAUGUAGUUAUCAAAAUCAAUGGUUUCUUCUCUUCUUUGACACUAUUAAUUUCUUUGUUUUCUUUUUUGGGCAGCCAAUUGAACGGAAGCCAAGAAAAUUCAAUUCGCUGGUGAUCCCACGGAAAUUGCAAGCAGCGCUGCCAUUUGCUUCCAAACCAAAGGACAAGCCAGCUCGCAAACGACCAUCACUCGAGAGCCGGCGUGCUGUGGUAAUGGAACCUCAUGAGCGGAAGGUUCAUGCCCUCGUCCAACACCUUCAGCAAAUUAAGAACGAGAAGGUAAGAAAUUUUUCUUCUUGUAAGAAGCAACUCAAAUGUGUGCACUGCGGUGGUUGCAUUGAUUAGCUAUAUCAAGGCAGACUGGUUUACAUUGUGGGAUAAUGAGAAUAUUAAGUUGUGGAGCUGUUUCAUGGCUUCCUUAUAGUAGCUAAUGCCUGCAGUCACAGGGGUCUCCAUUUUAUGCCCAUGUUUGCUAAUGUUAGUUGGCUCUGGCAGAUGAGGAAGCGGAAGACCAAGGAGCAAGAGAAAAAGAAAGCAUAUGAAGCAGAAAAGAUGAAGCAGGAGCAGUUAUCCAAGAAGAGGCAAAGAGAAGAACGAAAAGAGCGCUAUCGCCGGGAAGAUAAACACAAAAGAACUCGUAGGAAAGUUGAGGAUUAAUAGCACCUUCAGCUAUCGACCAGUCACAUCUUAGAAGUUUGGACUUCAUAGAACAGUGAUGUAUGCUGGUCUUCAGGGUUCUCAUCCGCAAAUAUGAUGGUGAAUUUUAGAGAAAUGUCAAGUAUUUGAUUAUUUCUUUUUUUACCAAGUAUAAUUUCAUGAAAAAAGAUGGGAACAGAUUUCCAAUGGAAAACAAAUUGUAGGAUGGAACACUAAAGACCUUCUAUCUGAAGCAGCUACUGUAUCUUAAUUGUAACUUAUCUUUUACUGGAAGAAACUGAGCUACAUUUGGACGGUUUGAUACAAACAUUUUUAAGAGUGAUUAAAUGUUAUAUAUCACGGCAAAACAAGAGAGAGAGAGAGAGAGAGAGAGUACUUGAGUGUAUCAGAAUCUAUUCGACCAGUGUACUCAUCUUCCCUUGAUUAUUUCAAGCAGUCUCAUCACUGUUUGUCAAGUUGUAUCUUCCUUUAACUAACAUUUUGAACAAAAUGCUAGUAGUCUCAUCACUGUGACCAUGUUGAACAUAUUGCAAGCAGUAUCAUCACUAUGAACUCAUGCACGCUUUGGAUUUAAAUCAUAUGUUACUUUGAUCUUUCACAAAUCAAGCUUUAAGCUAUUUUAUUGCAAGCACAAAUAAUGGAGACAACCAUUUGCCACCUGUGUCGUCCAAGAAUUAUAAGCAUGAGUGUCCUAAAAGUGUCCACAAGCCUAAAUCAUGGCUGGGAAAAUGCAACUCAUUGGAUUGUCAGGAAAAGGGGUAUUGCAUUAUACUGAUAACUUGCAGGAAGAACAUGAUUGCAUUUUUAAGCUCUAAUUGCUGUUUAGAGAGACUUCAUUUCUUCUUCAUUCACAUGUCCAGCUUCUGUUUGACUAUUCAUCUUUGCUUCACACUUCCACCAGAGAUAUAGACGCCCUGUAAGCUCACUCAAGGAUCAUAUUAAUUGUCUUCGGGUAAGCAGCUUCAAACUAUAGCGUAAGACUUAAUUGCCAGAGAAAGAUUGUUCUUUUACGACCUCGGUGAUUGGAUGGAGAGCGAGUCAUGAAAAUAAUUUCUUUAUUUGCAUAGGUAAAAAUGGGUUGUCUUUUCUGCAAGAACUUUGCUUAUGCAAGAGAACACUUCAGAGUUCUUGGAGUAGAAGAAAUCUGGUAGGUGGCAAUGGCACCACCAAACACUGAAAGGCUCAUAGAAAUUUAUUGGUUUGCAGAUUCUGCAUCGCUUUCUUUGCUGCUGCUAGCUGUUCUACCAUUAAGAAUUUUCAUGACAACCACAUGUGUCAUCUCAUUCAGUAUCACACACAGGUCACUGCCUCCCCAGUCUUUGCUGAGUUUUAUCUUGGUCAUUUUACAUUAAAAAAAAAAAUCUUGUUGGACUUAUACCCCAUGAUACUUUCCUAAUUGAUUUUUAUUUAAAAUAUCUUUUUUAUCACUUUAAUAAAAAUAUCUAUAUGUCAUCAUUCCUACUUCCGAUCACUUCUAUCGACAUCACUUUCGUCACCUUGUUCAACUCUGACUCUCUCACAACUUUCGACAUCAUAAUUAUCAUCCCGUCUUUCAUUCGUCACUUUCAUCUUUUCACAUCGUUCGUUAUCUUCCUUCAUUGGACCGGAUGAUAAAAUAUUUUUUUUGAUAAAAGCCUAAUAAUAAGAUUAUUUAAUAAAUUUUUUUUUAUUUUUUAUUUAAAAAUACUAUUUUCAACCAUAGUCUUUUAAGUUUUCAACAUAGAAGAAUAAUCCUAUCAUUAUCAAAACCUACCCUCAAUUUUUUUCUAUUUAAGCUCGAUUAAUAAAACCCAUUUCUGAGUGGUCCAAUUAACUAAUAAAACAUGACACACUACCAUGCAUAUAUAUAUAUAUAUAUAUAUUGAUGAACAUUGAUUACAUUAAUUAUGAGGAUAACUGACCCAUACAUUUGAAAUGUUUACCCAAGAUCAUGCAUCUCACCCAAGACACCAAUCCAUCCAUUUCAUAAAAAUAGGCAUAAUCUAGAAAAAUUAUUGUAUCAAUCUUGCAGGACGUACUUUUACACAACAGAUAUACACAGUGUGUUAAUUAUUAUUUUUAUUUGUGCAUUUUGUUUUCUAAUUGACACUAUUGUGAACAUGGUGGAUAACCGCACAUAAAUUUUGGACAUGUCUUCAACAAGAAAGAAUAAUUUUGGUUGCGAUUAGUUCCCAACAUUGCUAUAGAAGAACAAUAAAUGCAAUUAGAUUCGGUAGAAGUCUAUUUAAGGGAGGCUAAUUAAUGCUGAAGAGGUCACGAACGCAACCCACCCACCCACCUGCCUCCAUUUCCUCGUCCUCCCCAGCCGUCCUCGUCAUCGACUCGACGCCCCAAGGAUUUCGACUCCGUCCUCCUUCCGAUUCUUCUCUCUCCUUUUUCUCUUCCCUCGUCUCGCUUUGGCCGGUGGGUGGGGAUUUAGAGACGGAUCCGAGAUGAGUUCCGGAGAGCUGCUGGAAAUUGAUCCCCUCGAGCUCCAAUUCCCUUGUGAGUCCCAUUUCUAAAUCCUUCUCUUGGUGGUUUUGCCGGAGUUGUUCGGAAGAUCGUCGCUUGUUGUAGGGUUGUUCUUUCUUUUCUAAUCGUUGAGUUCUUUUUGUGAUUUGUUCUGACAAGUCGAACUCAAGAAGCAGAUCUCGUGCUCGCUGCAGCUGGCCAACAAAUCGGAUGAUUACGUGGCGUUUAAGGUUGUCGAUUUCGGCUUUUGUUCCCCUUGUUCUCUUAUUUCGUGUGUUACAUUUUGUGGAAACCCUAGAAAGUUGCAAUCUUUUUUAUCGUUUCUUGAAUUUUCUUUUGUAAAGUUGGAAUCUUUGGUUGUAUGAUUCGGCUAUUAUAAAUAGGUGAAGACGACAAGCCCGAAGAAAUACUGCGUCAGGCCAAAUGCUGGGGUCGUCCUGCCGCGGUCGACAUGUGUUGUUAUCGGUAUGCUGAUCUUUUCUCUGCCCUAAAUUUUCCGUACUUGGAAGGAAGGUAUUAUAUUUUCUUCUAAGAAGGUUACAAUUUGAUUCAGUUACAAUGCAAGCACAGCGUGAAGCUCCACCCGACAUGCAAUGCAAGGACAAGUUUCUUGUCCAGAGUGUCAUUGUUGACCAAGGCGCCACUACGAAAGACAUCACCACGGAAAUGGUAUAUCUAGUCUCCAGCAGUCUGAUUUUAAACACUUGCUGUCGCAAAUUGUAAUUAGGCAUGCCAGUGGGUAUAUGUUAUCAAGGAUUGACAAAUGUAUUUGAUCUUGUUUUAGUUCUCAAAGGAGUCAGGGAAUGUGGUGGAUGAGGUAAAGUUGCGAGUUGCCUAUGUCUCACCUCCUCAGCCACCUUCGCCUGUGCCUGAGGGAUCUGAGGAGGGUUCAUCACCUAGACCUUCUGUGUCAGACAAUGGAAAUGCGAAUGCCUCAGAGCUACUUGCUGUGAGUAUUUUAACUUAUUGCUUUAUGCGCGUUAUUCUUUUGAGAUAGAGGAUUUUAACUGUAAUGCAAUAAUAGGCAACGAGAGCAUAUGCUGAAGAUAUUCAGCAAGAGAAAACUUCUGAGGUGAGUCUCUUAUUCUUUUUGUGUAGUUCUGAUUAACUUACAAUUGAAUCAGUGACUGUCGUGCUGUUGGAUAUUUCAUCUCUUAUUCUUUUUUUUUCUUCUCGUAAUGUUAUCUAUGCUUUUCAGUUAUUUCCUACAGAUCUGGUUAGGUGCAUGUUUGCUUAUAAGAUAUGACUUUGUAUGUCUGAUAGUUACUUUUCGAUGUAGAUUUUUAUAACAUAAGUAGACCUUUUCUAGUUUCUAUUGCAUCGAUUUUCUGGAUAUAGUAGAGAGAGAGGUCCUCAUCUAAAGAACUACCCAGUCAAAUACUUGGACCAGGUAGUUUCUUUGGCCCAGGUAGGUCCUCGUCUAAAGAAUUAAGGUUAAAUACUUGGACCUUAAUCCACAAUGGGGAUCAACCACCAACUCAACUUCUCAUCGGUAGUUUCUUUGGCUUGUUAAACUUACGUUUUAAAAUCUAGCAUUAUAACAUAGGUGUGUUAAAAUUACUUGUAAAAUGAGUUAUAUUUCUAUUCUAUGUGAUCUUGUAGCAUCUCUUCAUUACCUUGCUAAAUCAGACUCUUGAAUAUAAGUGUGAAUCUGAUGCCUGCAUCUAUGUUGAUGCGACAAUGUUUGGUGAGAUAUCAUCUGCUAGGAUACAGAGGUGCUAUUGCUCUUGGAACAUGUAAUUCUAUCACAGUAUUUUAAAACAAAAAACUUUUGACCAAAAUCACUGAUUCCUUAAAGCUGUGUUAGACUAACUUACAGGAGUUAUAAAGGGAAUAUAUCAAACUGAAUAAAUGUAACAAAUCAGGUUUUGUUUACAUUCGAUGUAGAUCCCACAUUCAACCCCUCAUCCCACUAGUUCACUCAAGAAGCCCCACGCCUUUCAUGUCACCCAUUGCUUGCUAUCACAAUGCCCUAUCAAUGGGUAGCUGCGUUGGGUUUAAAGGGGCAUGUGUUCCAUAUUAUAAUGUUGGCAUUUGCAUAGGCAUGCAUUAUCCAUGAUUUGAAUCUUCUGAGACGAUGAACUUGUUCUGGUGAUAAUGAAAAACUGUGUACACUCAACAGUUCAUGUUAAUAGUUCACUGGCCAUUGACAUGAUCAGUGUAUAGAGUUUGUGGGACAUGACCACUUAUAUAUAAAUUAUGUGACAAAUUUGUCAUACUUUCAUGUAUGAUAUUAUAAUAUAUCUUAUUAGACAUUUGUAUCUUGGUUUUGGUUCUUUCCAUUAAUGGCUCUCCAUGUAAUGUCAAAAUAUUUUUCAUGAAUAUAGUUUGAAUGCUGCUUUUAGGUGGACCAAAUUAGCCCUGUAGGUGAUAUCACCUCUCACAGAACUGACAAGCACCUGAAACAUUUGGGAUUAAUUCAGUCCACCUAAUAGCUUUUCCAUAUAGUUUCCUUUGGCAGGAAAGAUGAAUGUUUUUUCCUGUGUAAUUGAUGGAGCAUCAUUGAACAAGUAUUUUUGUUUAUGCCACAAGACUCUGCUGGAAGGUAUACAACCUUCAGCAUUGAGGUUAACAAUAAUAAAACAUUUGUCCCGUAGAUACUCAAUCAGCUGCUAAAUUCGUGAUUUUUAUUUAAGAUGUUAAGAGUUGAAGUGAAUACUCAAUGACAAGUCUUUGAGUAAACUGUAAAGUACAAUGGAAUUAUUCUGUGCAAUAAUAAGUCCUUGGAGUUUCUAAUAUGCCAAAACAGCUUCUGGUAUGGAUGUAAAAAUAUUGAUUGUUUUCAUCUUUCUAGUGUGAAGUAAAAAAGAACUAUUCUUUCCAAUAAGCCCUUCUGAUGUACCAAAACAACUUUUGGUAUUGAUGUGAAAACAAGAUUUCUGAUGUUCUGGUUGUUUAAUUGAGCUUCAACAAGAUACAUUUCAGUUGUAGAAUGAUUCCUUUGGCUUUUCAUUUAGAAGCAGGAGAUUGUGCUUGGUUUAGGCAUAAUAAAUUACUAAAUGAUGUGGAUACCCUAACUUUGCAUGGAUCUACAAUCAAAUCAUUUUGUUGUACUUCAACAAUAUGAAAUGUAAUGUUUAUUAGCAUUCAUUUAUUUUUGGACUGGCUGAGCGAGACACAUGAUGUCAUGUUAAAGGUUGAAGACAGGGAACACGGAAUUACAAUAUUUGCUUAGUUUAGUCUAUGUAGUGAUGUUUUUAAGAUUGAUAUCAAUAAAUUAUGAGCACUAUCUAUCUCUUCACUAGCCUGAUGACAUGUAUUUAGUGAUUAAAGGUUUUCCUCAUGAACAUUAGAAUUUGUUAGAUGCUUAGCUUUAGUCAAGAUCAUGAUUAUUCUUGCUACACCAUGGGCAUAUGCUGGUCUCCCACUACCAUCAUAUGUGUUGCAAUGCAUCCCAUGCUGAUUGUCAUUCACCAGUCAUAUUACCAGCUUAGACAUGUGGGUAUGCGCUACCAUGGAUAUGUACCCAAAGAUGAUGGUGUCCCAUCUACAUGGUACAUGUCAGUCUGCCUAAACAGGCAGGAUGUCCAUGGUUAGAUGAUGAUAUAUUGUAACAAUAAUCCUAAAUAUGGAAGCAUAAUGUAUAAUUCUUAAGAAUAAGAUAGAUUUUUGUAGCAAUAAUAUCAGCAAGAAGAGAUACUCAUUUGCAUUGCAACAGUGUAAAUCUUUACAAGGAGACUUCCUACUCCAAUAUCUGUCUCCAAUUUGUGAGAUAGCUGUGUAGAAUAAAGUGAGAAACAUUCUAAGAUGUUUAGUUAGUGGAGCUAGUGUUGUUCCGAAAGCAACAAGAGUAAACAUUUACAGAACACGAAGGAUCAUGUGUUUCUGAAAUGUGCUGUUGUGACAUCUUUUUGACAAUGAGUAUGCAUUUAUUAGCUUAUUUAACUGAUCUAAAACCACCCUAGACUAGUAUAAUUUGGACUAGAUUAGGUUCAAUUUAGGUUAAACUGACUUGAAUAAGUCAAAUUAAUUCGGAAUGAAUUGAUCUAAGACUAAUCAAGUCUGGUUUAGUUCAAUCAAUGUUUGGACUCAAAUCCAACAAUUACAUAAUAUUGGACUAGGGUAAGUCGACUCAUAUACUGAUCAUAUGCAUUGUACAUAACUGUGCAUGCACCAUAGCAGGUUGGGCCAAUGGACUGGUCAUAUGCGUCGCACAUGACUGCGUGUCUUAAUAAUCUAGAAUCUUUGGGUUACUUAACAAACAAGUCAUGAUUGAGAUGAUUUACUCAUAAUACUUGAUUGCAGUUUAGUGGCUGCUGAUAAUGCAGCUUAAAAGAUCAAUGGUAUUAUAAGGGAAAAAUUGAAGUACUGAUUGUAAAAGUAGACAUGUGGUCAAUAACAACAAUAUAUGUGUGCAUGUGCAAGGAUACUUCUUAUUUAUAUGUCAUUAAUUGGUUAUUCCCUCUUAAAACCACAUACCAGUAAUGUGAUUUUUUCUAGUCUCUCCACUUUAACUAAUGUUUCAAAGAGGCAUAUUUAGAUACAUUUGCUCCACUUUAGCUUGUAAUUCUAGGGUUCUCAAAGUUAUGUGCCAACUUCCUGACUCUGUGAAACUUGGGUUUCCAAGAGAUUUCAGCAUGAAAAAUAUAAGAAAAAUAGAACAUUGAUUAUCUACAAUGCUGAUGUAUUAAGGAAGCUAGAAAGCUGGUAAACAUUUCUUUUGCACCCUUGACUCCUGCAGUUGAUCCUUAAGUUGCAAUUGGUCAUCCUACCACAUGAACUAGUAAUCUGACUCCAAACAAGUUUAUUGAUCUUUUGUAUUCUUGACAAUAUAUAAUCAGCUAAUCAGGAAUGUAUUUUCAAAUUAUGCAUUCCAUCUGAACGUACAAUGGUUGGUCAUCAACCUUCCAGUCUCUCUGCAUUUAUUUUAAAGUUAUUACACGGAAUUGUUGCUUCUUCUUUUUUCUUUUCAUAAUUAGUUAUUCUCAUCUGAUGCAUGUUUGUUGUAAUGUGCUCAAACACACUUCAGGUAUAUUUUUAUUAGGAAUUUUGAACUCUCUUGCCUUUAUGAUGAUUAAUGUUAUACUGGAAAUCUUUAAUUGACCUUUUCUCCAUCCAGAAUUUGGCUCUAAUUUCAAGGUUGACUGAGGAGAAGAAUGUUGCUCUUCAACAGAACAGUAAACUGCGACAAGAACUGGUAAGCACCAACAUGGUUUAUCAAUGGACUUUUUCUCAUGCUAGUGGAUCGAAUAAUAUAGCAUAUUAUUACAAAGUAUGUCAUAAAUAAUUAAAAAUAAAUUAUUUUGAAAAUUUUGGACAGAAUUCUGGUAGAAGUUUCUGAAUUUCUCAAUGUACCUAAUUUUUUUCCUGUUUAUAGCAUGUGCUCUUUUGCUCAAUGCUGCAAGUUCACGAAUUCAACAUCUUUUCAGGCAUCUUUACUGGGGUUAUAUGCCACACAUAACCUAUUGAUAGAAUACAUAAUUCAUUGUCUUUUUGUACAGCUAAAAUUUGUCCACUGCCUAAUUCCAGUUGUAAAGGACAAUAACUAUUGCAAACAAGCCUGUUCUGGUAGGUUCUUGAUGCCCUCCAUUUGUUUGUAUAUAUUGAUCAGCAAUGAUAAGCAAUCAUGGAUAUUGUGUUUAUUUGGUUCAAAACUAAGUCCAUACUAGGUUUCACUGCCACUACCUAUGUUGGAUAUUAAUUUGCUGUGGUCAACCUUAUUACAUGAUUUGGAACACUUUCAGAUGUGUCAGCAUAAUCUAGUUAUUUCAGGUUUUCCAUCACAGAGUAAACAUUUGUUCUCGUUUGAGUUUGUUGCUGGCUUGGUUGCUCGUCUGAGCCUAUCACAAGGUCUCAAGACUGGAUUCUGCAGGGUUCUGCAAAAUUGCAUCGAAGUGUGGUCGACAAAAAGCCUUCUCUGAUGCUUAAGUUAGUGUCGGAAAAGAUUUAGAGUAAUCGGGGUUACGACAGUUCUGAGAAUUUAUGUUUUCUUUUCUUUUGUACAGUAGCAUACCUGAGAUCUUCUUUAGGAGGCUUUGACAACCAUCAUGGUUAAGUGGGGAAUCAAUUCAUAAGAGCAGUUAUGCUAGAUUAUUAGGCUUUACUCUAUCGUGAAGGGUCGCAGUUGCAUCCAAACCUACAGCCAGGCAUUGCAGUUAACAUCGUCACAUAUUGGGUUGACUACAUGAGGCAUUUUAGCUGAUGUGUCGGGUUGGCAAGAUGACCAAAUAGGUGUGAUUGAUGGUGAUGUAGUGUCCGGAUGUCCACAUGAGAUCUCUUAUUAAGAUAUAUUAGCAUUUUAAGUAUACAUGUAUGCAUGCUUUUUCGCAAAUCAAGAUCUCUUUAAAAUGGCUUAAAUAAGUCCUAGAAAAAUUUGUUCCCAUUAAUCCUAGAAGUGUUAACCUAGAGAUCAUAUAGGUAGCACACUUCUAUUAUCUCAGUCCAUGAGAUUAAACAACUAUGCUUGGCAUGUUUCAAGGCAGUCAUCCUGUGAGACUGUCAGUUUAGUUAAGUAAAUAGGUCGUUAGUGAUGUAUAUUUUGGACUCACCAUACUCCUUGAUUUUAGUUCUGAUAGUUCAAGUAAUCAUCAAGACUUUCUUUCUUCUUUUUAUGCCCUUUAAACGUAAUCAUAUAACUCCAUAAAUACGCUGUCCAUGCCGCUUGACCAAUUACAUUUGCGAGAAUGACUGAUUAUUACUUGUUUUUCAGUUAUAGCUAUGAGAAAACUGUGCAACGUGUUACUGUUUGUUCUGCGUGAGUACAAGAAGCUUACUCAUUCGACAAAGCAUUCAACUAACUAUAUCAGAUUCGUAAAAUGGGCUCAUUCAAUCAAGAUUUAUGAUUCAACUUAUUAUCAUUUAUCCGUUCUUUCUGCAAUAGCGAUGUGGUUCUUAUUUGGUGGAAAGAACUUUGGCAUUAGUAGAUACAUACCUGAACACGCUGUAAAUUCUACUGUUUGCUAAUUAGUUGUCAGUCUUAGACAGUAAGCACAAAUGGGGUCUUAAAUCUGAGUUCAUAUAUAUUCUUUAACAAUAUUUUGUCGUUGUUGCAUGCAGGAACUUGUGAGGCGAGAAGUCAGCAAACAACAAGGUGGUUUCUCAUUCAUGUUUGUGGUGAUCAUUGCCUUGCUUGGAAUUUUUCUAGGCUACUUGUUGAAGAAGUAACAAUGGCUUGUAGCCUUUUAUGGACACUCAUAGAUCUGACUGCCACAUUCUAUUAGGUCCUUAUAGGAGUCAAAACUAGCUCACCUAAGGUCUGGUAGCUUCUUUUGACUGUUUAGCAGCGGCUUCAGUUGGUGUAACAUCUGAUGUUAUGGGUGUGCAAUUUCGGUACCGUGCGUCCUUCAUAUUUAUUAAUACAAAUGUAGCAAACCUUGGUCCUUGAAUUAUUAUCAUUUAUAAUAACUUGUUUGUGAGCAGGUGCUAUCAGUAAUCUCAAAUAUUGAUUCGUGUUUAUUGAACUCAAGAUUUUCUUGUGUUUUUGAUGUUUCAAACUUCGUAUCUGCGGUUAAUACUCUGUUGUAUCUGCUUAGAUUAGGAAAACUGACAGUAGUAGGAAGAUUGCUUUAAUGUUUCAAUGGCAUUAUUAUUCAGAAGAUGAUGAGAAUUUGAGUCAUUCCUUGAAGAGCUUUAGUUCCAAGACAUAUGUAGCAGCCCAUGGAUGACAUUAUCAUUAUUCAUUUUAUGGCACGAUUGCUGGAUCUAUAAUUGUUUGCCCAUGUAAUGUAUUUGAUCUUUGGAGCAGCCCAUGAAAUGGUUGUUGCCAUGCUGUAUUCCAUAUGAAGUUUAUCAUGGAAGAAAUUUUGUGAAGUUGUUGCAUGAGCACCUUCGCACGGGUUAAUUAUAAAUUACCUUUUAGUUGGACUUUAUCAGAUACAACAUGUGAUGACAUAUGUAAGAAUGAUAUUAAAAUGAUGAAAAAAAUAAUUUUAAUAUUUUAAUUAUAUUUUUUUUUGUUAUGUUCUAAUUAAAUUUUUUUAAUUGACUAUUGCGAUACUAGUAGAUAGCAACGCCAUCGGGGGCUGUGGGUGAGUGUUGUGAUGGUGGUCGACCUUGUCGAUAUUGAUAUGAACAUUGAAGAUCAAGGCGAGGGUGAUGGCCACGAUAGCGGCGACGGUUUGAUUGAUGAUGGUGAUGGUCGAUCUUGGGGAUGCGAGAAGGAAGAGGAAGAGAGUUACAAUAGUUUGUGAGAUAAGUGUGAGAGGAGGAAAAGAUAGUGUUGCAGGAGAUAGCAUUGGCGUGGUCAUCAUCCUCAUGACACAAGAGAAGAGGAAGAGAAGGGUGAACGACGAUGACGCUAUUUUCGGCUUCUAUGGCUUCUUGCAGAGGGAUGAGAAAGAGGAGGGAGAGCGAUAGCGGGAGGUGAGGCAAACGGAGAGGAGAUAGCCACUCUCCCUCCUUUUCCUCCUCCCGGGGCGAUAGUGUCACGAUAAUGAUGGUUGCACCAACGCUAUCUCCCAUGACACUAUGAUCCUUGUCCUCUUCCUCCUCAUCAUGGAGGGUGCUAGUCCAUUGCAUUCGGGGCACAUGGAUGCUUCGCUUCCCCAGGAGCUUUGGUAAAAACCUCGAUCACAUCUAAGUUAUACGAGGAAUCGAAGGGUUUGGUGCCAUAGUGCUUGCUAUAGUGGUGGUAGUGGUGUGGAUGUUGGAAGAGCUAGUGGUGUUGGUAAUGGUUCUUGAUUAAUACAUUUAGUGAAAACCCAUUGAACCCUAUCGAUGGUGUGACCAUUUGGGUGUAUGCUAAGAUGCCACCGACUGGGUUAAGCAAGGAUGAUGGCAUCAUGUCCAAAUUGGAAGAGAAGCUCGACGAAGAGGAUGAUGGCGAAGACAAGGAAGAUGACAUGUAUAGGUAGGAGGACCAUUGAGGACAAUAGGAUGAGACCUGGUUGGGUAUACUUAUGAUAUAAAGGGAGGAAAGGGAAGGCCAUGUUGUUGUAGACAAGGAUGCUUUUGAUUGGCCUCGACCCCUCCAUCAAGCCAUCGAGGGUGGAGUGAUUGCUGCAAUAAUGGUCGAAUAGCAAUGGUUGUCGCUCUCCCUCCUCCCCUCGCAAGAAGUCAGAAGCUGGAGAUAGUGUCGUCGCUACUCUCCCUCCUCUUCCUCUACCUGUAAGAAAUUAUAGAAGUCGGAGAUAGCAUCGUCGUUGCUCACCCUCCUCUUCCUCCUCCACCGUUGCGAGACAAUAGUGUCACGAGGAUGAUGGUUGCGCCAACACGAUCUCUCAUGAUACUAUCAUUCUCAUCCUCUUCUUUCUCUCCCUUUGCCUUACCUCCCGCCACCACUCUUCUUCCGCUUCCUUCUCACAUCCCCAAGAUCUACUACUAUCAUCAUCAAAUCUCUGUCAGUACCAUAGAUGUUGCCCUCGCCUUGAUCGUCGAUGUUCCAAUUGACCUCGAUAAAGUUGACCACCACCACAAUAGCCACUCGCGAUCUCCAGUAGCAUCACUAUCUGUCAUCAUCAUAACAAUCGACUAUGUAGUUUUAAUUAGGACAUAAUAAAAGAAAAUAUAGUUUGGACAUUAAAAUUAUUAUUUUUUCAUCAUUUUCACAUCAUUCCUACAUGUGCUGUAUUUUUCAUCAGUAAAGCCGAUGGCCAUACAGUAAAUGGGAUUAAAUAUUUUGUUUUUAUAACUAUAGGGAUUUCAAUAUAAAUGUUUUAAAUCUAGGGACCGGGAGGAAUGUAAAGGGGAUAUAACUAUAUGGGAUAAUUUAUAAUCGGCCCUCUGUGCACAAAAACUAUAUAAUAUAUUGCUCUUGUGGGAUCUCAAUAUUUGCUUGCAUACUUUUUGAUGGAGCCAAGAAGGUAGUUUGAUUGUGCAUUCAUAUGUUAAUUAACUUAUUUCUUUUCCUUAAAAAGGUCCUAUGAGGACUCGGGGUUAUAAGAAGGCUAAUCUUUUGUUGAUAGAUUUAGUAAGAGUGUCAUGUGACUUAGGUCAAACUAAUAAAAUUAAUGAUAUGGUAACAAAAUGGCAAACAAAUACUUGGACAUACAAUGUUGGGAUCUAAUAAGGUUGCAUGAAAAAUAGUAUAAAAACUUGAUAGAUUGGAGGAAAUCAGUAUAGAGAUAUAGAGAAUGGAGCCGCUUAAAGGAGCAGAUAUCCAAGAUUAACAUUCAAAAAAAUAACAAACCAGAGAUACCAUAAGAACAAGUGAGAUAAGAAGAACAUAUAGGAGCAUAAAGAUUGUGAUAAUUAAGUUUGAUCUACAACUUCACAUCAUCAACCUAAUUUGUAGUAUUAACUACAAGCAUGUUUGGUUGUAGAUGUGAUUGCACAGGUCAAGGAUAGAUUGAUUGGCAAUUGAAAGAGUUUGUGUAAAGACUUAUAAAAGUGAGAGAAAUUGUUAGCUCGAAGAAUUCGAUAAUCAUACAAUAACUUAUAUACAAACUUUGGAUGUUCGUAGCUAUCCCAAGAUGAUCGAAAUUCAAUAUCAGAAAGUAAAAAAACUCUCUUCUGCAAGAUAGAAAGAGAUAACAUAUACUAGACUCUAAAUUGUAUAGUGGGUUUAGAAUGUUACUAGGUCUUAUGAGCAUAGUCGAGGGUUGUAUCGACAAAGUGUCAUGAUCUAGCAAGUGCAUUAGUAAAAAAAAAAGUAUACGAUUCAUAUAUAACAAAUCACGCAUUUCAAGGAUAUACCUUGGUAAUGAAAAAAUUUCAAUAAAAAUAUACGAAAAGGAUAUGCUCCAAUAUGGGAUAAAUCCUCAGUGAAUCAAUUUCGAAUUUUCUAUCAAUGAUUCAUGUAUAACAAAUCACACAUUUCAAGAAUAUACCUCAAGGUGAAUAAUCUAUAAAACUCCAAGGAGAUUGGAAUCGAAUAAGUGACAAAGAAUCAUUGCAAGGAUAAGAUGAUGCAUCAAUUAAUACGUUACAAGUUUAAGUGGAGGAGUGAUCGAAAGCACCCCUAGAGACAAAGACACACAUAGAUUGAUGAGGAGAACAUCAAACUCAUUGGAGAGCACUCAUGUAACAGUAGUGGCAAGGACCAUAACAAUCUCAAUGCAAAUAAAAAUGCAUAAUAACAAUCCGCACGAAGAGAAACUACUUGGAAGAUAAAAUAUGGAGAGAAGGUAUACGAACACUUACCUUGAAUGGAGACGAAGGAUAUGAACACUUGUCAAGCCAAAAAUGGGACCAUUGCAUUCCUUAAUUUUCUCAUUCUAAUAGAGAAAGACUCAUUCCUUAAAGAGUGGAGGGGAGCUCCAAUGCACGUGUACUAGAUCCAAAUUUUUUAUGAGUAUGCUAAUAUCAAUUUAUUUUCAUUUGUCCCUUUGUAAAUUUAAAUUUGCGUUCAAAAUACUCUUUCAUUCCUCUGCCUCAUUUCCGUUCAUACAUAUGAAAUACAUAUAUAUGAAGUUAGCUAAAAUUUUAUGUGAUUCAGUAAACAUAAAUGGUAUGAUAAAAUACCACAUGAGUGAAUACAUAGGAAUUCAAAUCUGCCACUCAUACAUAGGAAUUCCAAUCCGCUAAAUCACUCAUGUUAUGAUCUUCUACUUCCUAAGUCUUUCCGUUCCUCUUCAUCUCUUUUUUUUUUGUUUAUUAUAUUCUAUACAUAGUUAAAAUUCAUUGUCUUACUCUAUAAACCUUUCAAUUUAUGUAUGAAAAUCUAUGUAUAGAUUUUUAUACAUAAAUCUAUACCAGCUAUUUCAAAGGUUUCAACUGCAUUUCAGGUAUGGUUUUGGUUUUUCCCAAUUAGGAAAUGGUAUACAAUUAACAAACUCAAGACAUUCUUUGUCUUAAUGAAGUAUAUGAGACAUACAUCAGAAGAUAUUCCUCUUCUUUGAAACCUCAAAUGGCUAAAUUGGCAUCUGAUGAACUUAACUUGUUCCAGUAUAAAGCAGUUGUCGUGCUGUGCAAUGUAAUGAAGAGAUUAGGAGUGAAGAAGGAAGAUGCUAAACAGGAAAGAAAGAGGGGAGAACAGUAUCUCGUUCUCAAAGAAUCAAUUUAUCCUCAUGCUUGGGGGUAUUUUAAUUGAUGGAGGUAUAUUAGUGAAAGCUAGAAAGGCCUACAAUAUAUUACAAUUUAUCCUCAUACUUGCAAGAAAAAUUUUCAGAGAAACAAGCAUAAUAAAAAAAUGCGAAGGCUUACAAUAUAUUAGUGAAAGCUAGAAAGGAAAGAUUAUAAUCGAAAUUCUUAUCAUCCAACUUGCAACAGUAAAAUUAGAGUCGAAACAUUUUGACAUGAGACAAACUGACUAUAGGACCAUGAAAACAAAAGAGGAUUUUAGAGAAGUAAUCGUAAAAAAAAAGAUACAAAGGCCCUACAAUGUGCUAAUAAAAGCUACCAAGGAAAGAUCAUAGUCCGAAUUUCCAUGGAUGAUGGGACUUCAAUAGUAUCUCAGGUUGGACCAUCAGAUUAUCAUGUUGACUUUUGAAAUCUUACAAAAUCUAUUUUUAAAUUUUACAGAUUAUAAAGUACUUGAAUGUUUACUUAUAUGAUUCGAUUGUAAGUUUCAAUAAAAUGACAAUCAAGAGAUAUAUCAGGCUUAUGAUAUCUCUGGUACGGUAGCAGAACCAUAAAAUCAUAGAAGUCACUAACAUUGACAGCCUUCAUACUUAGAACUCUUCCUGCAAAUUGCAAUAAAAAGAAAAAACAAAGUGUUUAAGGAAUAUUGAUUGCCAUAUAGAACAUAUGAAUGGCGACAAUUUUCCCAAAGUGCAAUAACCAUCCAAACGUAUGUUAGAAACCAAAGGAAAUAGAAAUAUAUACCAUGGCAGCAGUAAAGGAACAAUAAAGUUGACCAACGCAUUUAAUUGUUGUUUGGCUUGUCAGGCUGAGGAAAUCGUUACUUGCAUCAGAACUUAGUUCAGCAAGAUUUGUCCAUAGAAGUUUCUAACCUCUUUGAAGGUUAUCCAUGAUAUUUAUAGCUUUUUUAGGUGUAUUUCUGAUAUUUCCCCUAUUUCAAAGUUUCAAAAAUGUGUCUACAAUUUCAUAUUCUCCUUUUCCAUACAUGUAUGAUAAAGUAAAAUACACAUAAUAUUUUGAGGUGGGUUACUAGUUUUGGGUAAAUGUUCUGGAGGGUUUUCAUGCUAUUAAAAUUUUCAAUGAUCUACCAAAUUCAAAAGUCAAACAAAGUUUUGGUGUCUGAUGAUAUCAACAGGUAUUAGAAUGUUGAUUUAACUAAAUUUUAGAAGAUAUUUAAAAGUUAAUCAUGGAAUUUAUGAAAAGGAUGAAUGACAGAGGCAAAUAUCUAAUAGAAAUCCCUUUUUAGUCUGCUAAUUUUGGUUUUGGCUAAAAGUUCUGGAAACUAUAUUCAAUUCACUCAAACACAAAGCAGCCAAAACCAGCAUUACGGCUUGCAAUUGGCAGGAACUCUAAACCAAACCCACAAGUUUGACCCAACUAGGUAAUUUUGUUGAUUGCAAAAUUAAUAAUGAUAAGCCACUACAGCAAACGGCAUUCCCUACGCAUGCCAUAGUGUGUCGUGCAUGUAUGUCUUUCUCCAGCCUCGGUUACAGUCUUCCCAUGAUAACUGGAAGUAUCCUUUUCUUAAUCCUAAACUAGAUUCUGAACAACCACAUGCUGCACCUGUUCGUUCAUCUAUAAAAUUUAUUUUGCAGAAGGCACCAUGAUUUUAAACUUCCUCAAGAACUUCAUUCAUAUACCAACGAGCAAGACUUUUCCCGUUUUCGUUUGCUACAUGGCCUUUAAAAGGUUGCAACACUGGAGAAGGACAAUACAUAAUACUCAUGAAGCUCAGAAUUACAUCUUCGUCUCUAAAUGAUUAAAACCCUUAGCUGCUUUUGCAGUGUUAUGUCCUUUGAUACUUAACAAUGUUAAUAUCAGUAUGAAUAUUCCCUUCUAUCUUUUGAAGCCACAAAAAAGAUAAAUACAUAAUGCUAUGAACUCAGUAUACAAUUCUAUAGCACAUGUUAUGCAUUCUUCGAUGAGAAUGGAUGAAUGGAUACACGCAUGUCAUGUUCACUUUAUAGAGCCUGUCGAGCACUUGCACCAACAAUGCCAUGUCUCUAUUGUGUGUUCCACAAAUUCAUAGCUCUAAAUUACUUUCAAAAAAUCCUGAGCUCCAAACAUCACUGUCAAUAUCCCCUAUAUUCGCAUUUGCAAUUUAAACUAAAACAAACUGAGUCAAGAUUGUCCUAGGGAAGACUUCUCAUUGACACUAGUUCCUACAGAAAAAACCUGCCUAUAAAUUCAAGUAGAAAAAUUUUCAAAGUAACAUGACCCUUAGCGAAACUCCUGGACAUCUUCGCUCCUUUCCAAUUUUCCCAAUGAUAUAUUCCUGUGGUCUUUCGACUUCAAAGUGUCCUAAUUCCUGUGGUUUUUUAAUUCCUUUUCCAAUCACCUAGACUAAAUACACUCUAGGGGGCAGUGGUACUGCAUCAAAGAAUCCAAGGAUAAACAUCUACAGAAGAAACUUCUCUUUUUAUGCAAAACUAACAAACUUUUAGGAACUUUGGUAGCUUAGGAAGAGUAUAUGCAUCAUAGCAUAGAGUCCACAUUCAAGCGCCUUUCAGAUAUCAACUACCGAGAUUUCAUUCUAUAAGUAUGUGCAAAAGAAAAUAAGAGUACCUACAAAAUUAUAGAUAAUCCCUAGCAGCAAAUUAACAUUCACUAUCGACAGAACAAUACAAGAUUAUGAUUUCUGCUGUCAAAGCUUUGAUUCGAUUACCAUGGCUAAAGUAAAGUCAGCAUACAUUAGACAAUAUAUUAACCAGAUUCAAAGAAACCAAACCUUUGUGACUUGUCUUGAAGAACAAUCUUUCAUGCAUGUCUUACCUUGAAAACCAUCGAUCAGCACCAUUCUUCCUCGCAGUAGAAAGAAGUAGUGCACGUUCCCUCUCCUUUUCUUUCUUCUCCCGCCUCAUCCUCAUCCUCUCCUCCCUCAGUUCCUCUAUUGUCUUUUUCCACGCAUUCUUCUUCCCCGAUCCACUUGCAACCAUGAAUCUUCCAACUUCCUCGUCAACAGUCUCUGACAUGGCCGACGGUCGUGAGAGGUACCACGGCGCCUUCACCCCCUUCCCUACCAGUCCAUAUCCCAGCUUAUACUUCUCGUCCUCGGGCGCCACCGACGCCGGAUUGUCCUCUCUCCGCGGCUUCUUAGAGCUCUUGGAUCCACCGUCUUCAGCCUCCUCCUUCCUAAAUAUCUUGCCAUCACGGGGGAUCCCUUCGUCCUGGGUGCCACCAAGGGAGGAGAAAUCGGAGAGUCCGUCGAAGAGGUUAAAGUGGCGAGAGUCGUCAUCGAAGGCGGGGGGGUUGCUGGUAGUGAAGACCGCGGGCACGGCGGAGGCGCUCGAGGCGGAACUCGGAGGCGGGACUCCUCGCGCUGGAGCUGCUCCUCGCGGGCAGCGGCCUCCUCGUCCCGGCGGACCUUCUCGCGGUUCUCGUAGUUGUACACGUUCCACCGCUUCCGCGGCAAUAUGUUGAGACCUCCGUGCCCCCUCCCAUCGAUCGAUCGUCCUAGCGAAGAUUAGGGUUCCGAGAGGAAGGGAUCCAGGAAAAUUAUUUGGAUUUCGUUCGCCGGUCGAUUUCGUGGGAGCAAAGACGAGCUAAUUACUAGACCUCCUUAGCAUCCUUGUUACUAUUUUUAAAAAUUUAUAUUAAAAUUUUUAUAGUUAAUAGUUAUGUAACUGAUAAAAAAUAUAAUAUAUAUAUAUAUAUGAAUAACAUAAAAAUGAUAGACAAAAAUAUAAUUUUAAUAUUGAUGAUGAAUCAUUACAUCGUGGGUGACUGUGAUGAUGAUGGUUAACAAGAAUAAUAUAAUGAUCAAUCUUGCCAAAGUCGAUAUUCAAACAUCGACAAUAAAGAUGAAAAGGAGAUGAAGCGGUGAGGCAUAUAAGAACAUUGCACUGCUUUGCCUCUUCUUUCUCCUCCGAUAUCGUUUUAAAUUUGCAUCAACAUUAAAGAAGGAAGAUGAGACUAACGAGGCAUGAUGAGAAUGAGAGAGGAGGAAGAGGAGAUAGGUGAGGUAAAGUGGUAUAGCACAAGAGGAGGAAGAGGAGGUAAGUGAGAUAUCUACAUCGAUGUCGCAUUGCUCUACCUCCUCUUUAUUCUCGUAGAUCAUUAGAUUGUUCAAUGGGGCGUUGCAUCGCUUCCUCUACGUUGGCGUCGUAUUAUCUCCUCUUCGUUCUCAUAUACUAUCGAUGUAGCAUUGCACUACCUCCUCUAUGUUGGCAUCGCAUUACUUUGUCUCCUCUUUGUUCUCGUUGACCACCGUAUUGCUGGAAGAAGAAGAGGAAGAGGAAGAGGAGGCAAAGUAGUGCAACAUCGAUGUAGAUACCUCACCUCCUUCCUCUUCCUCCUCCGGUGCUAACACAAAUAUAGAUGCUUUACUGUUUUGUUUCCUCUUCCUCCUUAUCAUUGAUGUUUAGAUCGACAUUAGCAAGAUUAACCACCAUAUUGUUCUCGACGAUCACCACCACAAUAGUCAUCGAUGGCGUCAUUAUUCGUUAUUAUCAUUUAAAUUAUCUUUUUGUCCAUUAUUUUUGUAUCAUUCAUAUAUGUGUUUUCACGUGUUGUAUCUUUCGUCAUCUAGAGAUCAUGAUGAUAAAGAGGUUUGACUAUAAAGGGUAAAUUGUAAUUAGCCCGAGCAAAGAUGAGCAAAUUGUAAUUAGUCAUCGAUAACAUUAUAUAUAUAUAUAUAUGGCGUUGGCAACUUUGAAAACUACUAGAAUUUGAUAUUUACUUCCUAUUAAUUCCAGUAAUAGAGUAGCAGUGGUAAUAAUAAUACAAUGGUGGUGUUUGCAUAGAAUUUGAUGGGCUAGACCUAUUAAAGAUCGGCCCAGCCCAUUUUCACAUAUCAGAAUAUAUAUAUAUAUAUAUAUAUAUAUAUAAUGUUAUCAAGAAAAAGAAAAAACAUAUAUAGAUGUGUACAACUUAUAUAUAAAUACUAUAAAUAUUAUACUAGUAAGCCCACAAGAUAAAUGGGGCAUUAGCGUUAGACUCGAUGGGAUCGAUCUUCUCUCAAACUCAAGUCAGAAUGCAUCAGAGUUAGAGAUUAUAAUUAUAUCUUUUUUAAGAUAUAUCUUUUUGAAUCAAAAAUUACGUGGUAGCUGAGUUGGCCGAUCUUCCACGACUUAUCAAUGGCUAACAUUGUUUACCUAAACAGCACUUCCGUCAUCUGCAUGCAGCUGAAGCAUUUGUCAAGCUGCUUUAGGCCACACAAUUUGGCAGCUCUUUUAAUGUGCAGCUGCAGACCAAACUGAGGAGUUGUGGAUGCCAAUGCUUCUACUAAGAUAUCUGCUGAUUCACCUCAAGACUUGAGACUGCGAAACUGAUGUUUGCAUGCAGCAGCACCACAAACCUGUCCUUUGUGUAGGAGCCUCAUCAAUGGAACCAUGAAACAACACUGGUGGAGUGGGGAGAAGCGCAAACAUGAGGCCAUAAGAGAGUGUUGGAUGCACAAGCUAUGGAACACCACUACCAUUAAAACAAAAUGACCUUAGUGUUGGAUGCACAAGCUAUGGAAUCCCAAUAUGAAACAUAGAAAUGUGCCUAACAAGCACUGAGUGGGAAUCCCACCCAUUGCCUCAAAUUUUGUACCACUCAAGUCGUGAGAUCAAUACUUUCAUGGAACUUGUUCUGGCCACUAAUCAAAAAGUUCGAGUUGAGAUAUCCUUUACUAUUUCUCAGGUGAUUGCACGAAAGUUCCAAUCAUACAAAUAAAUAGCCAUCAUGAACUUUUUUUGUCCUUUGAUAAAGAAGAAACAUCAAUUCGGCUCUUCUUGGCUCCAUCUCACGACGUGCAUUCAAUUGCUGAACCGGAUUCCAGUUUCUCAGACCAGAAUACAAGCUCCACUUUGGUCCCAUUCAAUAAUCGUGAUUGAGAUCGAGAGUGGACUACAAUUAAUAGCAAUUGGUUAGGUAGGUUGCCAUAAGAUUCAUUCAUGUUUCUUAACAUAUUAUGAUUGAUCCAACAAGGGAAUCAUAAAUUCAAUCGGUCAGCGGUUCGGUUCUCAGCCUUUUCGGUCUAAUGAUAUUCGAAUAACUAUGGUUAGAAUGAUUGCACAUAGAUUACCUUUUCUUUAGCCAAGUGGUGUCUUAGCGCAUCCUCCCCUUCCAUACUUUGACCUUAUCUAUCCGCAAACUGCUUGUUUAGUGUGUCUCCCCAUGCACUGCUUAGAUGCUAAAUAUCUUGAGAAUACUGACGAGUACAAGAUUCAACCUGCAAUGAGGGGAAGAGUUGUCUUUGAUAUCGUCAGAUAUGGUCUCACAAGUAUUCACAAGAUUGUGGAUCAAAUAAGUCUUCUACAGCACAAACAUUGAUUGCACACUUCCCAUCUUGGAACUCACUAGCAAAUGCUAUAGAAAGAGAGGGAGACAGAGGCUGUUAAGCUGUGAUUUGUAACAUCAACUUCUACUCGAUAUGUGACUGAUAUCAACAAGGGGAUCAGGUCGGGUAGAUUCCAAACUCCAGGCGCAGGAGAAGCAGAUGGAGUACAGUGAGAGGGACUUUGCAAGUAGGAACAGUAUGUCCUUUGAGACAGCUGACGUCCGCAUGCAGGAUCACCACCAGCUUCAACUCCAGCCUACUGCUCCACGAACAUAUGUCCUCGACACUGAUGUCUUCGUGCAGGAUCACCACAAACUUUAACUCGUCUUCUGCCCCACAAACAGCGCAGACUCGAGUCGACUGAUGUCUCGAUGCAGGAGGAGGAUUCUCACAGGCUUUGCUCGUCUGCUGAACCACCACAAAAGAACGGCAUAAACGCAGGUGGGAGUGCAGAGAGCUCGUCGCCAUCGUCUGCUGUAGAAAGGGAUGUUUCGCCGUCGUGGUGAACAUAAGGGAGAGGAUGAGAGAGUUAACGUAGACUCAUCAAGCUGCGGAAAACCACGUACGAAGAACACGGCGCACGUCACUUCCUUUCGUGAACGCAAACCAUCCAUCAAUGCUGCUGUUCUUUUGUCGAAGCUGCAUCGCCCAUGAAACUUUUUUGAGGGAUGAUGUGAUCUUAUCAUGUUAAUAAUUAUCGUAUUUAUGCCCGUAAGAUAAUAGAAACAAUAUAAAUUUUUUGAACGAUAUAUAAUUUCUAAGGUAAAAAAGUGAUUUUUAUUGCUGGAAAUUUAAUAGCCAAGCUAUAAAAUUUUUGUGUGCUAUGCUUUUCCUCGUUACCCGAUUAGUUUACUCGCCUUAGAAUUGGAGGUAGCCUUUGUGCCUGCGUGGGACCCAUUUAACGUCCUAAAUCCCAAUAUAUCAUCUUACGAAGUGUGUCUGAUAUAUACGUGGAUAUUUGUGGUGGAUCAUAUAUUAUUAUUUUUAUUUCUUUUAAUUUAAUAUUCAUGAAUUGUCAGAUUUAUACCGCUGAAGAAUUUUUUUUUCCUAUGAUUAGUCCUCCCAUUUGAUCCAUCACACUAUGUAUGCUGAUAAUAUAUAUUUAUAUUCCAAAAUAAAUCAUGUAUGCUGAAAUUGAGGACUGUUUAAACCCAUAAAAAUGUAUAAUAUGCCAACAAAAUCAUAAAACUAUGACAUAGUUUAUUUUUAUUUUUUUAAUUAGUAAAGUCAUGAUUAUUUUAGAAGAAAGUCUCCAAAGGUUAUAUAUAAAGGGGUGCAACACUAAUUAAUAUCCAUGAAUUAGUAUUAACGUUGCACCGCCGCAGCGACAUGUGUCAGCCUAUGACAAGGGUUGAAGCAGCAAUGCGUGCACCUGGAAGCAAUGCCGAUCUGCGGUGGGACCCGGCGACUGGACCCCAUCGGAAACAGCAGUGGAAUAUGCGGGCGGCCGAGGAGGGAACAUUCGUGGAAUAUACGUGGAAUAUCCCCAGUCUGUGGCGUUACGAAGGGAAUGACCGAGGAAUUCAGCCUCGGCAGCCACCUCCACCGAGGCCACCACCGUGAUUUGGCGCACGCGCGGGGCCACUGGCUGUCGCUGCCUUUCGUGGCUACAAAUCCCCGAAUCUGCCCCGUCGCCCACCUCCUCCCUUGAAGCGUGCGAGCGGCUGCAAAGCAUUCACUGUCGGCACAAGAGAGAGAUAGAGAGAGAAAGAGGGAGAGGGAAAAAGAGUUGGAAUUGGUGCAAGCUUCUCAUCCUCAGGUAACGGCGCACCCGACAAAGAAUCCAUUGUUUCCGAAUUCUUGGAAAACAGUUCAUCAUCCAACAUGCAAUUUAGCGACAUGAUAUCACUGGAUUAUGUUGGUAUAUUUUCUAUUAUUGAAAGAAUUCAUAAUCCAAUAUGCAAACUUGCUGCAUGUUCCUUGUAUAUUAUGAUGCGGGUAUGUUCUGUUUAUCUGGUAGGCAAAGUUGAUGCCUUCUUAGACUAAUUUUCCAUCGGUUUUCUUUCCUUUUAUCGAUAUCUUAUUGUUCCAUGGGCUCUGAGUGUAUAGAACUUAGGUGUUUAGCUCGACCAGGGAACGUUAAUUGGCUUCCUGCAUCCCUAAUUUGAGGUUCAGAAUGUUAAAAGGCUCGGUCUUUUUAUCUAUGCACUGUUUUCUGGUCAAGAUGCAAUUUGGUACCAGUCGUAAAAAGAUGAAUUCAUGCUGUAUGCAUUGAUGAAUUGAGUGUUCUUCGAGGAAACCUGCACUUGACAAGACUACAUAAUUAUUCCAUUUUUAGCUGAAUGCCUUCUGUUCAGCUAUAUUGAUUGGCAUUGUUAUGUUUCUACAUCGAAUUAGCUGUUUCAAGUUGUUUGAUGUUUUCGUGUUCUCGUGCUUUUGUAUUGUUACUAUUUUAUGUUCAUGUGUCAGUUAAUUCGAGUGGUCGACUGAUAAUUCUUCCUCAAAACAAAAGAGCAGUUGAAUUCUCGUUUCUUAUGCUAUUUUCUAAAGUAAUUCAAGGUGAAAUGAAUAUUUGAAACAUGCUGAUGUAUUUAUUAAUUUUUUGUUUAUAGAGUAUAAAAAGUUCUUCCAAUUGCAAACGUCAUAUGUGAGACGUAUUUAGUUUAUUUCUUAUUUGAAUAAAUUUGGUUAGCUUAAAGGUAUUUCGCGUUUGUUAUAAGUUGCUAGGUUGCAACAUAUGGAAUAUUUUUUAUUUCCUAGACUACUCAAGGAGAAAUCAAAGAAAACCAAUGCAAAAAAAUGCAAGAAUAAAAAUGCAACUUUUAUUGAAAAUUUCUAAACAUAGUAAUCAAUAAAAAAUAUGUCAAAAGGGAAAAUUAUUUUUCAAAUAAAAUACGGAAUGCUAUAUUCUUUUAAGAAUGAAAGAACAUAUGAUUUAUUUGAUUUAAUGUAAUUAUAAUUUUUAUUUUGUAAUUAUUUUAUUUGAUGUAAUUAUAAUUUAUUCUUUUAAGAAUGAAAGAACAAGAUAAUUUUUCUAUUAUGUUGCUCUGUUUAUUUUCUCUCUCUUCCCUUUCUCUAUUUUCAGAUAAUAAUUCAGAACAUACCAUUUAGAUUUAGUAUCAAAACUUUUGGUUUAAGUAAGAUGUCAUAUCAUUAACAUCGAUACAUAUUUCAGUUUUAUAAAUUUGUAAUGAGUUACUAUGUCGUGAAAGCCUAUUAUAUGAGACUAAUUUACUUUAUUUCUUAUUUGAAUAAACUUGAUUAGUUUAGGGGUAUUUCAAGUAUUUAAAAUAUUUUUGAUUUAGUUUCCUAUAUUGCUCAAGAUGAAUGAAAAGGAAACCAAUACAAAAAGAUAAUUUUUUGUAAAUAUGGAAGUCUAUCUCAAUAAUAUAUCAAAAGGGGAAGUUUAUUAUUAAAAUCAGAUAUGGAAUCCUAUUUUUUUCAAUAAGGUAAUUGCAUAGGGCUUGAUAGGAGUUUCGUGCAUUAGGUACACUUUCUCUUUGUAUUUCUCUUUUCUUUCCUUGUACAUGGUCGGGAAAUGAAAUCUAAUGGAACAUCAAAGAACAUAUGUGGAGGUGCAACAUCUUCAUCUUGAACAUCCUAUGAAUAUUCUGCUUGAUAUAGUGCAAUUUCCAUGGUUCACUUUACUAGUUCGUACCAAUAUACUAACCAACUAUUGAUACGGUACGUACCGAGCUAUAUCGAGCGUACCGAGCAUACUGACACACGAUACAUGGGGUAUACUAAUGUACCGCUUGUAUCGGUCUCUUGUCAGGCCAGUACAUAUUGUCCAUAUUGAGCGGUACACUACAGUAUGGGGAACCUUGGCGAGUUCAAUAGUUAUCUUUUUAUAAUUAUCUUUUUGUGGUUGUCUUCUCUGUUCUCCCGUUAAUUUCAAAUAAAAAGUUAAAACUCGUUCGAGAUUAAAUUUGAUAUUAGAGUUCUUGAUCUAACCAAGAUUUGGUUUAGUCACGAUAUUCUGUUAUCAUGACCAAUUCAUAUAUUAGUUUUAUAAAUUCAGGAUGAGUACUACUCUCGAAUAUGAUACAAGACCAAUAUUGUUUACUUUUUAUUUGAAUACAUUUUAUUAGUUUAGGAGUAUUUCGAGUAUAUCAUAAGUUGUCACAUAACAUCCAGGAUAUUUUUUGUUUAGUUUCCUAGAUUGUUGAAAUAGAAGAAAGAGGAAUCCUUCAAGGAAAAAAAAGGAAAGAAUCACAGUUUGAUUUUGAUUCAAGAUUUUAUCUGUACAAGGAAGACUAAUCUCUAUUUCAUUUCUACAAAUAUUAAAGCUUAUUAAUUAAAAUAUAACAAAAGGGAAAGAUUAUAUUACGAAUCAUAUAUGAAAUGCUAUCUUUUUUUAAGAGGUAAAGAACCAAUUAUUUAUUUGAUUUAAUGUUUCUAAUUUCUGUAUUUUUUUUCUCUUUCAUAUACUUGGGUCUAUAAUAUGAGGUUAAUAAAAUGUAAUGGAACAUCAGAAAAUAGAUCAUUAAAUUGAGUUUUUUUUCCACUUUAUGUGUGUGAGGAUGCAUGAGACAUUCAGAGUUGUGAGACCUCCAUCAUGAUAGGAUUAUUCUUGAAUCAUAGAGAGUCAAGUAGUUAUCUUUUUUGAUGUCCAGUUAUCUGUUUGUGGUUAUCGUCCCUCUUGUUUCCUUCAUUUAUAUUCAAAUAAAAAUUUAGAACUUGUCCUACAUCAAACUUGUAAUGCUAUUGAAUUAUGGGCAUGGUUAUAAAUUUCUGAAUUGCUUGGCUUUUCAGAUGGUGCUCUUUUUGUAGCAGAGUAACAGGCCAUCAAUCUUUGUAGACCAAAACAUCCUCCUGAUCAUUGUUCCAAGAAAAAAUAUAUUUGUUCGGUUGAUGGAUUCAACAGGUGAACAGAGAAGUGAAGCACAAGACAAGAGGCCCAUCGGAGUUCGCUUCUUGGAGUACAUCACGGGCAGUCGAUUGAGCUUCAGAACAUAUCAAACGAUUGUGUUGGUUCUAACAUUCUUGGCAUAUGCUAGCUACCAUGCUACUCGGAAAACCACAAGCAUUGUCAAAAGCGUGCUGGAUCCAGAGACAACGAGGCUGGGAUUUUCCCAUUGGUCAAGGUUUUACUUCCUCAGAACAGUUGAGGGGACUGAGCCAAAGCCAAGACUAAAGGAUGGUUGGUCUCCAUUCGACACUUCAGAUGGCACUGCCAUGCUUGGACAGAUUGACGUUGCUUUCCUUUCUGUCUACUCUCUUGGAAUGUACUUUGCUGGGCACUUAGGUGAUCGGUUUGACUUGAGAAUCCUUCUGACGAUUGGAAUGGUGGGGACUGGAAUCUUCACUUCCCUCUUUGGUGCUGGUUAUUGGCUCAACAUACACAGCUUCUAUUACUUCUUGGCAGUUCAGAUGUUAGCUGGUCUGUUUCAGUCCACAGGAUGGCCAUCGGUCGUGGCUGUUGUUGGGAAUUGGUUUGGAAAGAAGAAGAGGGGACUGAUCAUGGGGAUAUGGAAUGCACAUACUUCAAUAGGAAACAUAUCUGGAUCGCUGAUUGCUUCUGCUUUACUGAAGUAUGGUUGGGGUUACUCAUUCGCUGUUCCUGGCCUUUCUAUCGCCCUUACUGGGUUGAUGGUGUUCUUAUUCCUUCCUGUUUGUCCUGAGAAAAUCGGGAUUGAAAGUGAGGAAGAUAGCCUGUUGAAAUCCCCUAAGAAGAACGGAAUUACUGAGCCUCUGUUGGAAGGACGAUCAGAUGAAAAAGAAAAAGCAGUGGGCUUUUUUGAGGCAUGGAGGAUUCCUGGUGUUGCACCAUUUGCUCUCUGUCUCUUUUUCUCCAAGUUGGUGGCUUAUACUUUCCUCUAUUGGCUUCCUUUUUACAUCAGCCACACAGGUACAUCUUUUUAUUAGUUGGUAUUCAUGUCAGAAUAUAAUGUCUUUUGUAAUUUUAGAUGGGGAGUAUUUAGUUCCAGUAAAUAUAAAUGUAUUUGAAUGUUGGAAUAUCAAAAAUGUUUUCCUAGUACCUCUAUCCAUGAUUUAUGCCUAAAAGUAUCUGGCAUGAUGCAAAGGCAACACUGAAACUGGAGUCGGCCACAUAUCAAAAAUAUUUCAUCAUAUUGAAAUCAUCAAAUCAUGUUUCCACAUUAGUACUAGAUUUAUCUCAUCCCUAGACCUUGCAUUAGUGGGAGACUCAUGCUGAAUGCCUUGGUACUUGCUUUGGGGUAUAUAACUUUCGUCAGGCUUAUGCUAAUUGUGCAGAUUUUGUACAUCCGUUCAUUUUAGUUUUAAGGCUUGGCCAAUGUCACACCCAGAGUUAGGCAUCCAGCAUGUUUCCUGUUAAACAAGUGCAUUAGGGGAAAAAAAACUGAUGCCUCGGUACUGUUGCGAAAACUUAAUUGUGAUACUGCUGCAUUGCAUUCAUCUAUUUUUCUGAUGUUGUGUUCCUAGUUAUUUCACGUUCUAAUACCAUGAAGCAUUCUUUAUCGUGCAGCUAUCGACGGAAGCUACUUAUCUGAUUCAACAGCAGGGACGCUAUCAACAUUGUUUGAUGUUGGAGGUGUUGUUGGCGGCAUCCUCGCUGGCCAUAUCUCUGAUCGACUUGAUGCCCGUGCAUUGACAGCAGCUGGCUUCAUGUACUGUGCCAUUCCUGCUCUCUUCUUCUACCGAAUCUAUGGCAGCAUCUCCCUAUACUGGAAUAUUGCUCUCAUGUUUGUCACUGGUAUGUUUGUCAAUGGUCCAUAUGCAUUAAUAACAACAGCAGUAUCGGCAGAUUUAGGAACACAUAGCUCCCUAAAUGGGAAUUCCCGGGCCUUGGCCACCGUGACUGCUAUAAUAGAUGGCACAGGGUCAGUGGGUGCUGCCAUUGGCCCGCUGCUGACAGGCUACAUAUCAGCCAAGAGCUGGAGUGCAGUGUUCACAAUGCUGAUGUCAGCCGCACUGGUGGCUGGGCUUCUCUUGAUGAAACUUGUGGUGGCUGAGGUGUCUGCAAAGAUGGAGUCUGCUAGAUUGCGAGCCAAUUGGCGACAGAGAUCACCUGUUCCUGAGCUCCUUGUAUAACAUAGCUAUGUUAUUUUAGGAGGUGAAAAGCUGCGAGCAGGUCCUCUAUUUAUUUUUUUCAGAGGAGUGGCUCUUUGUUGCUUGACAUGAAUAAGAGCAUUGCUUUGGUCCUUCGACAGCAUGCCCUCAUUGCAAUGGAAGGGUCACUAUAUUUGGAUUCAGUUUUCAUGUUCAGAGCCAUGCUGGUUGAAAUGGGCUACAUUCUGCAAAUUCUGUCUAGAGUCAUUAAAGCUCAGGUUCACACUAGUUUUGAUGAGCAGGUGAUAUUAAACUUCAGUCCUUUUCAUUGUGCUUAUGGCUGCUAGAGUCCAAUAUGACAUAUUUGAGCUGCUUGACACAGUCGCAAUAUAUUAUCUGUAUAUUUUUUCUUUUUGUGCUAAUGGCCUCUUUGAAAUAAAUUGCAUUUGUAAUCGAAACACCUUGUUCUGGAUCUUGUAUAAAGCACAUUACACACUUUAUGUCUGCUGCUAUUACUCCUGAUAUUGGUCUUCUGCUGUAUGUAUUUUGGAAGGUGUAGCAAAAAUAUUUAUUUUGUGAUUUGAAGAAAGCUUCGAUUGUGCUAAAAGGUCAAAUUAUAUCUUUCCACCAAAAGUAUCUAUUACAUUCAGCAAUACUAUGAAACUUGGAAUAUAUCAAGUAGAGGGCAUUUCACUGCUUGGUAAUUCUGUGUUAUAGUUGUCAUCUAAAUCAAGGAAGAGAUGCUUGGAACACUAAAUUUGAGACAUUUUUAUAGGAUGCUUGUUCUGACUGAACCAUUUUUAUUGGCAUGAUGGAAUGAUAAAAUGUGUUUUUGGAGUCAAAGAGUCUGUAAGAUGCAUAAGGAGUGAGUACCCCAGCUGAUGAAAGAUUGUGAACAACAUCAGCCAAGUCAUUUGUGCUUAAUUGCAUCUGGAUUGAAGUACAUCAGCAGAAGUCCCUCAAGUUGUAAUUUAUCUUGAGCUUGGGUCAGUCUUAUGAAGUAUUUUGCUUCUUUGAGUCAGUCUAAAUGCAAUGUGUUAAAUGGCUGGUUUCUUUGCCUUAUUGUAUGCAUCAAAUUUCAUCAUCUUCAUUUCUCUUCAUUUGGUUACUUUCAUAGAUACACACACAUGUAUGUAUACAUAUAUGUUUUAUUAGUAUAUAUAAUAAAAUACAAUUAUUUUUUUUUAUUAAGUUGGAAGUAAUUUUUUCCCUCUUAACAUAAAACUGAGUCAAGAGUGUGAGUCAGAUAAUAACCCAACUUCUACAAUAAUGAGAGCAAGAGAAAGGCAUUAGUUAAUUAGACUUCCUCAUGCUGUUAAAACAUAUUAUAUCCUGAAGACUUGUGGUUAGGCUUCACAAUCUACCAUCAAUUAUUCCUACCACCACUAUUUGUGGAAGAAAUACAAAUUCAUGAAACUUUGUUCUUUCAAGAAUCUUGUCAGGGAAGUACAAAAGCAUCCCAUUGUCUUCUACCUUUUCAUUGAUCAAAUGCCUCAAGGCAAGCUUGACAGUUGAUGGAAACACCAAAGGAAAAGAAUUAUUCUGCUCUUUUCCCACUGACAAUUCACAUCUUAUCUGAACUAAAGCUUCUCAGGGAGGCCUUUUUAAAGGGAAGUGUUUGCAAAGCUUGUGGGAUAUUUAAAGCAUCUCCAAUGUGAUCAUGAGAAUAUAAUCUUUAGAGGCCUUCCACUUGUUUUAUGCUAGACUAUGAUCAUGAUCAUGAUCACAAAAGGAGAUAGAUCAGGAAUAACUUUUGGAUACUUGACAAAUGUUUGCGAAACACAUGCCCAUAUGACCUUGAUUUAUUGUUGUUGUCAUUUGGCAGUCUUUAGAGAAAAAUACUUUACAAGUUACUAUUUGCAUUGUGUGAUGGUGGAAGAAUAAUUGACAUAACUUAGCCACUAGGUUUUUUGAGGAGGAGGAGGAAUCAAGUUCUUCCAUUAAUGGUGAUCCACCACUUACCACACAAAGUUCAUGUGCUUUCUACCUCAUCAUGAUCAUUGUCCUUGUGAGAUCAAAUCAUCUCAUUGUAUUCCCUAUUUUCUAUGAUUGAGAAUUUGAUUCCCUACACACUCCCUGUCUACUUCCACAACAAUUUAUAAAUCCAAAUCAUCUUCUAAUGGUUAGGCUAGUCAUUAUCUUUUUUUUCUUCAGUUUAGGAGAAAAGAAUUCUUGUUUUAUAUUUAUAUAUAUAUAUAUAAAGAUUUAAGUACUGAAGAUAAGAUUCAAUCUCAAGAUCUUACUAUCAACAAUUAAAAUCUUUGCCUGUUAACAUUGGAAGAAUUUAUUGAUUUUGAAUUCUUAAUCUUGAAUUAAAUCAUAAUUCAAAUGUCUAAGCUAUAUAACAUAGAAAUGAAUGAGCAUAAAGCAUUCAUGGGUGUGGGGGUCCCAAGUAGGAUGCCUCAUAAAAGUUUGGCUCACAAACUUAAGAUAAGAAUGAUUCUCCCCCCAACUCUUAUCUCAAUGGCAACUGCCCCAAGCAAAGGAGAUAGAGAGUGGAGCACUCCAAAAUGGAGCUCUUUAACAAGCAUAUAUAGGUAGGUGGACAUCAAUCCUUUCAAGUCCAUCAUAGGCCAUAAAAUAUAAGACCUUGCAAGGUAUUGACUGAAGAACAAAAGCUUUAAGAACAAAGGAGAACCCGUGAAAGAGACAUGAGCAGUGAUGAUUGGAGUUGACCCACUUUUUCUUACUAGAAAUGAGGAAAGAAUAGAGAGAGAGAGAGAUGUGACUGAAAGGGAAAUAAAGCUUGAAGCUCAUGAUUUGGAAGUUACUCAUUCCAAGUUCAUUCAAUCUUCUACACUUUGUGGGGUCAUUCUUUCACUAACUACAACUAUUAUCAUCAUCAUCAUCAACAUUACCACCACCAUCUAGUGCAAGAGUUAAGAUAUAUCACAAGUCCAACUCGAGCAUGAGUAGUGCACCUCUUUUGGGGUAUUAUUUGCAUGUAAAAAGAUGUGUGGAAAGGGAGGGAAGCGUUGGCUCUACGCGGUUUGUGGAGAGAGAGAGAGAGAGAGAGAGAGAGAGGAUGGAGUUCGUGAAGAGAAGAGGAAAAGGAUUGCCGUCGGCGAGGCAUCUACAAAAGUGUUGGGUUAUCAGCACCUCAUGCGCUUGUCACACCAACUGUUGAUUGGAUGAUGGUGGUCGAUGUGGAUCAAUCCAAUUCGUGUUCAUGUCCUUAUGAAUACGAUCUUGUAACAUUGUCCGUUUGCGAUUUGGAAAAUGAAGGUAAUCUAUCGAGGAAAGGAUAGAGAAUCCAAAUGCAGCUUUUGAGCUUGUGCAGGGGCGACCAUGCACCAUGGCCGUCGACCUCCUCCCGGGGGCAUCGAAUCCCAUGGAGGAGGAGGAGGCUUCGCCUCUCCUCCAGUGCCAGCCUUUCUGGCGAUCAAAAGGGAGGAACUCCAUGGGAGCUGAGCCCAGAACUUUAGGGUUUUGCUUCCCACUGCAUGCAUGCAGGUUGCGUUCGACGUAAAAGCACGAGGCCAUGGGGAAGCUUUUGUUGCCACCGUGCUCGGAGCCCCCCAGAAGUGUUGUUUGACCCAACCACAUGAAUGGAGUCGAGUUAAUUAACCUGGGUUUAGGAGGAAGAAAGAACAUGCAAGAGAUAGAGAAUGCAUUUUAGCCAUCACAUCAUCUUCUUCAUUCCAUGCACUUCAUAAGGAGCGAAACUAAGGGAUGUAAUAACCAGCUUGGCUUUUCUUCGUGCACUUUGCCUGCAGCUCAUGCAUGGAAUCAACAUCAACUUGUUGCCAUUCCUGUCCUCCCAAAGUGUACAUUCCUUUCCCCAUUGUACGUUUGAGGUGAUUCUUAAGUUCCCCAUCUUUCCCAAGAACAUGGUCCUCUAAUAUCCUACCCCAGUGCCUCAGCUUUACAGUGCAGAGGAGGACCACAAUGCAGGCUGUGAUCCUAAAGUGUCCUUGGAAGGUUUUAAUCCUUCAACCACAUCUGGUCACUGAAUUCAGCAGACAUGCUCUGCAUUAGGGCAGCAUUCUAUCUCUCUCUCUCUCUCUCACUCUCUCUCAUCUAUGCUUUUGUUUUCUGAAGAUGAAAAUGAUUGAUCAGCUUGAGGCAUCCCCAGUAUCUUGUCACCAUCCACAGCACAAUCUCUAAGACUGGCAUGAAUCAAGUAAACAGUAGAGAGAUGUAUAACCAAACAAUAUGUAUGCCAAAUGCUCAAACAAACCUGGCUUGGUACCUUCUUCUGACCAACUUGUCUACCACUGCAAAAGCUUCACGCUACCAGGGAAUGUGGAGGGGUAACAUGAAGUAGAACUGCAUGGUGAAAGAUCAAACAAGAAUGUUAUGUGAUUCCAAGAACUCAAAACUAUCACAAACCAGAGCCACACUUGUUCAAAAGCAGGAUGUCUUGAAGCAAUCUUGAGUGGUUGGUUAUUUGGAGCUUAAAGAUUAACAUGAUGUAGAACUACUAGGAGAAGAAAUAGAAAUAAAUAAUGUAUGUUACGUACUGGGAGACAAAAACACUUUUCCACAUGGAAAAAGGAGAUUGUACAGACAUUGAUUUAAGAUUGAAAGCAGACAAGCUUUUCAACUAAUGGAGGAAGAGGAAAUAUAAACUACAGAGUUUUUAAAAGAAAGAACAAUACCUUGAUGUCAUGUGGAAUGGUACAGAGACCAUGUGAAGGAUUAAAGAACAAACAUUAGUUUAACCCGAUGGAUCACAAUUAGACUGAUUUGCCCGGUGUUAGCCCUACAUACAAUGAAUCAUUGCACUCAGAGCAAAGACUGUAUCUGCCCCAUCAGUGAGUGGCAGGUCACUACCCAGCAGCCAGUGUCAUUUGAUCGAUGUGUUGUCGUUCAUGAAUGGAGGACUCUUCUUGUUUGAUCGAACAAAUUCGGUGUCCAAGAAGACUGCCCUACAAACAAUGAGAACAUACAAAUGUCAAUUGCAAUAAACAAAAGCUAACAUGGCCCCUUGUGCUACGACGACAAAUUACUAUCACAGAAUUUGAUGAUUGAAACAAGUAUACAAGAUCAAAUUACUAAUUACUUGCACGUGCCUGACAGGGACAAAACGUCACCAUUAAAGUAUCACAUUCUCUACAGUAACACCAACCCAGGUAUGUCGCUGUCAGUAAAAUAAAUUGGGAUAGACAUAGGGCCUGAUAAAACUCUGACCAUUCUUGCUCUGGAAGAUCUCAUUUUGACUGUAAUAUGUGCAGCAUAAUCACCAAGAUCCAUCUACCCCUCGUAAACAUGAUCCAAAUUCCUCAUCCAUGUUGCCAUAAUUUAGCAUCCCAGAUUACUACAGUAGAUGCACUAGAAUGCCAAAGUUGGCGAUCCAAUGUCAUCCACGUCACUCGAUCAUACAAAUAUAAAUUUAUUAAAGAAAAACAAAAUUAGAUAGCAAUAAAAAUUUCAGGUCAAUAUGACCUGGAGACAAUUUCUUGGACUGAAGAAUAUUUUACAAGACAAGGAUAAGAUACGUACAUCAAUUCUUCUAGUACAAUUUUAAAUCUAAAGUAGUUUCAAGUGAGCAUCAACAAAUGCAGCACGUCUUAUUUCACUGCCACCAUAGAGAAUGGCCAUAAGUGCCAGAUAUCUAUAAGCAACUGAUAUGAGAAGAAUCAAGUUUCCGAUAGUGGAAGGAUUGUUCCUAGCAAAAGCAAUUUUUUCGGCAUGGAAAUUCCAUCAGGAUGAUAUCGAUAACAAAAAUGUAAAAUGUAUUUUAGGACUAUUCAAGAUACCAUGAAAUCAAAAAUUGCAACACAAGUCUAUGGCAAACAUAAAUAUUAUGACAGCAGUGCCACAGAAAACUCUCAAGCUCAAUUGAUGUGGCUCCAGUAGCACACUGAAAUAAGCAAGGAUGCAGAGGAAAAAUAAAUCUGAAACUGAUUAUUUCUAUAGAUAGAAAAACUUUACCAUCCCAAAAAGAGUCUUCGAAACAACAGCAUGGUCCUUUUAUUUUCUGACUCUCUCAAGUAGGUUAUAAACAAAUAGAGGAUCAUAAAUAACAAUUUUACCUUAUCGAUAAUAUCAGAUGCUUUAGAAGUUCAAAAAAAGAAAUAACAAGCCAUAUGCACAUGCCAAAUACUCAUCAUUUGUGGUUCCAAUGGAUGAAACCAGUAGUAGUUUGAAAUGAAACUAAACCCGAAAAGAACCUCAGACAGAACAAAUCUUUCAAGUAAUGCAAACAAUAGUAAUAAUGAGUGGUGUAGUCGAGAGAUUUUUUUGGCACUAGAACCCAUGAGAUAAAGCUAAACAAAAAAGGAGUUAGAAAUAUUUACUGGCAAAUUGGAAAGAUAAAGCAAGCCCCAUUCUUUUGGACUGAAUAACAUGAAUCACUUUUCAGAUGCAUUGUUUUGGAUGAAAAUUGUGACUUACAACGACUAGCUGCUUGUGCAAUCUGAUCAGGACAAUUGACCAAAUUAGUUAAUUUACUCACCACUCUAUGAUUACUUGAGUGAAAUAGGUUAGAAUGAGAAAUUCGCAUUAAAAGGAUUCCAAGGAAUAUUCUUGAAAAUAAUAUUACAACAUAAAAUAGGCGUCAGAAUAUGUGAUAAUUGAUACAUUGUAGACCAGACCUGUCAAAUAAAUCUCAACUUUUGACUCAGUUUUACCUCAAAGGAAAAAGUAAAUCCAAUAAUCACCAACCACUAGUUAUAAAAGGCCACCCUCACUACUCAGGAAGUGGAGAGAUGACAUUCACACCCCGGUCUUUUGGUUUCCUAAAUGAAUGUCUACCUGCAAACAAAAAUCAUCUGGAAAGAUCACAUGCAUGGGACCUAUAAACAAAAAUCAUCUGGAAAGAUCACAUGCUGUCCCAUGCCCAGUAGAUCAGACCAUAAGUUAAAUGCUACAACUAAAUGUAGAGCAACAUCACACAUUCCAAUCCAUGUAUAACUAUCAACUAUGUACCCACAGACACAGCCCUGGCUGCCUUGAAGGAUGAAACCCACUGGUAAUCAGGUAAGGUUAGGACUGUGUAGGUCACAAUAUGAGAUGUUUGGUUUCAUACAUUGAGAUAUACACAAUAUGAGUAUGCCUUCUCCAUUAGAAUGAGUUUGUUCUGAUCCUUUCAGAUAAGCCCUCAUACAUGUGAUUGUUGUUUCUUUUCUUAAGAUGGUGAAAUGAUACUUGGGUGUCCUAAGCAAUUAUAAUACUGAAGUCUCAUCAGGAGUUCGCAUCAAAUGAGUCCUGAACAUGUAGAUAAGCUUGGCAUACAGUUGACACACUCACUAGACCAUAUGUUGUUACAAUACUCGUAUAAAACAAGAUGUGUAAUGGCAAUUCCUCCUUAAUACUCACAAUUUAAACAUUAUGACACAGAAUUUUGAACUCACAACCAACAUUUUUGUACAAAUUUGCAUUUCAGAGUCUUGUUAGUCCUUUAAUAAGUCUGCUGGGUUGAGAACAUAUGUUGACCUCCCUUGAUCACCAGGGGACUGAUUAACAGAAUGGAGUCCGUUGCUGACAGUUCCACUGUGGUACUGAAAUUUGUUUUGUGCAUACUGCAUAGUUGUGAAAAGAGUGUCGAGACCCCAACAUCACAUAUCUUCUAAAUUUGAAUAGAUUAAGUUGAUCUUGUUCUACAAGCUCCAUGGUUAUUUUCCCACUAGAGUAACCUUUCAAAUAGAUUAACUAACUUUCCCUUGGAGUUUUAUAUAACACUAUACACAGUAUAUACUUAGUCUUGCUCUUUGAUUUUAUAAGUAGCUUAGGAGCAGGCAACAAAUAUUCGUUAUACAACCCUCAUCAUGAUAAUUCUAGUUAAAUUUAUUGUAAUUUUCAAUCAACAACGAUUGCAAAAAUUAGUAGGUCUUGAUCUCACAACUUUUUACUCGGAUGUAUUGUCCCAAUACUAAUUUCACCUACUUAAAUCAAAAUACCUAUGUUUCUUCAGCAAAUCAAACCUUCGUUGAAAAGGAAGCAAAAGAAACCUUGGGAGCUAAAUUUGAAGAAUCAUGAAUUAAGGUAUUCAUUAUCCAGUAGUCCUGCUACCCACUAAUUUCAUUGUCUUUCCAGAUUAAUAUAAAUGAUGAAAUGCUGAGAAGAAAGAAAUAAAAUAAUAAUGUUUCAAUGAAUGUGACCAUAUUGAUAAUUUUACACAUCUUUAAUGAAGUCUGAUGAUUUAACAGCUAUUGUAUAUCUGAUAAUAAUUUUCAUGUCAAACCCAUUACAAACUGAAGAUGAACUGACCAGUUUCAUAUAAAUUAUACAGAAGAAACAAAACCCAGGUCCACCUAUCAUUAUCUUAUCAAAAUAAUAAUAACUUGACAAAUAAUAAGGCCAUAAUCAUCAAGAUGCACUUAAACAUUUUCAGAAGCAGAAACAUAGAAACCCCAAUGGAUGUCCAAUGUGCCAAUGUCAUUUUACUUGGAAACAAAUCCCUCAAUGAUCACAUGGAUUCAAGAUGCGAUAUCAGUAGAGACAACACCAAGAGAACAAAAGAAGUUACCACUAUAGAAAAUUACGUUAUGACAGCAUCUAGGCCCAACAGAGUUCGAGUACCUAAAGUGCCAACUUCUGCCAGAGAUUUGCAAGGAUCAGGAACAAGGAUAACAUGCCUGUCUGAAAGUAGUUCUUCAGCCCCUCCAAGCUGACACAGAGACAAGCUCCUUGCGCUGCCAGUAAAGGUAAAGAGAGGCCUGGCGCUUCUCCACAUGAAAUCCUCUGAUCUGCACCCUCUUUAGAAGGCAUUCAGCCUGUGUUUCUGUAAAAUUGCUGAAUUGGAUGGGCACAAACCCUGCAGUUUCAAAGAGCGUUCGCCAGGGAAGCAUCUUGUCAGCUGCACAGUAUCUCCCAAGAACAGAACUCUCUAUUUUCGGUUGUAGCAAGAACCUCUCAAUCUUGCUGGCUGUAUCUUGGUUGGUCCCCGAUGCAUCAAUGGAAUCCAUAAGUACCAAGGAGGACUGGAAAGCAUGGAGGAAGUGCUGCAAGAAUGGCAGGUCACUCCGAUCACACCCUUGGUCAACUGAGACCACAAUCUUCGGAGAGAGUUGCUUCACGAGGCGGAGGAGAACUGGGAAGGAAAGGUUUGCAGAACCUAUAGGGAGAUUUACUGCUAUGGCUUCACCUCCCAAGCCAUGGAGCUCUAAUGGAUCAAAUGAAUCAAGGCUACGAACCUUAAGUUCAAAGGGAAUGUUAAGGUCACUUGCAAAAUGGGAGAGGUUGUCCUGGAUAAGGUGGAGCUCCAUGUUGUUAUGGGAGUAAUGUGACACAAAAACUGUAAUUUUGAGCAUCCUUACUGCACCUGCCGAAGAACAGCGCCUUUGUGCCAGCUCCUGCAUGAAGGAGGACCAUUGUCCACCAAACCCAAUAUCAAAGUCCAUGAUGUGGAUGCGGUCACAGCCAUCGAGCUCUUCCAGGAGGGCCUGGAUGCACGUGAAGUUUGAGAAUUGGAUGAUGGGUGAGACCUCGGAGAAUGCCUUGUAUGCAUUGAGCUUGUGCACAACGUCCAAAUGAGUCAUCAGGGGAGCAGAGAAGGUGCUCUGCUGACGAUGGGAGGUUGGAGUUGCAGAGAGGAUUGUGUUAGAUCCGUUAGAAAGGAUCAGUUGCAGUGCCUCCUUGAAGUAGAAAGCAGAGCGGAUAAGGGGCUUCCCCGAGGGAGAGGGAGAGGGGAGUUGGUGAUUGAGCCGCGCCAAUAUCCCAUGUGCGCCGACGAAAUUUCGGGCCUCUACCAUCUUAGCAGCCUCGAAAAGCAGAUCGGCCAAUGCGUGUUGUAAGUGCAGCUGCUGCGCAGCCACAGCUGAGGUUACAUCGUCCACGAAAGCUGCCACCUUCGGCUUCACUGAUCUAUUCUGGAGCUGACGCAGAGGAAAGCCGUGGCUUUGCUGCUGGUAUGACUGUCGCCGAAGGAAAAGAUCUGAGUUGGCAGCGGAGUCCAGGAAAGGAAGUUUCUGAGGAAUUUGGUCGGCAAUGGCGGGGUGGCGCUUCAGCUGGGUGGGUGGAAGGAGCUGCGGAAGCUGCUGCUGCUCAGCAUGCCCCGCGCUGAGGAAGAAGGGCGGGUUCGGGGUGGCUGAUGCCUGAUUCAGAAGAAGGCCUGGGCCAAACAAUUGUGGCUUGUCCAACACGGUAUCUGGGAAGUACAUACCCUGUGGUAGUGAGAGCGGCGAUGAGAUGCUGUUGCCAGCCUGCGGCGGCAGCGAGAAGAACUGACUUCCCGUUUGGUGGCCGAAGGUGGCCCCUUUGAUGUUGGCGUGCACGAUGGCCGGAGACACCCUGCUACUGCUGCUCACGAGCGAGAAGCCACCACCAGAAGCAACGUUAGAAGACAGAGGAAGAGAAGAAUCCGUAGGGGCCGAGACGGACGCCUCAUCCGCAGUCCUCCCAAUAGAUGCAAGCCCAAUGCCUGGGUCGAGAAUCCCAAACCCUAACCCGUUACUGUUGCCAUCGAACUCCACUGAGCCGUGGGAUAGGAACUGCUGCUGGUGCUGCUUAAACCCGGCCGCAGAGGGGUCGUCGACAUCCCCCAUGAUCCACCGGAAAAAGGUCUGCUCCCGGCCAGGGGAGGCCGCAGAAGUCUCCGAGAGUAUCGCCUCCCAAUCGUCGACACCAAGACCGCAUUUUUCGCCUCCAGCAACGAAACCCAUAUCAAGCCCGGUCGGUAUCGGCUGCAGCUCAGCAGCCCACUCCUCCUUCCCGACCGCACCACCGCUCACCUCGGCGGUGGAGUCGGCGAGAACCCAUUUGUUGGUGGGGAUGUCGGAGACCGCCGCCACUCCGGCGGUGUCGGAGGAGCCGCCGCCCAGGGAAGAAGACAGUGUGGCUGUGGAGGUGGGAGGGCUAGGGCUCCUGUGAUCAAGCACCGAUCUUGGCUCCCUUCCCUGUUGGAUCACCAACUUGGGCCUCUUAUUCACCCAAAACAGAGCCUGGUUCCCCUCGAAGAUUGUCUCCACUGCUUCUAGACCCCCCUUCCCCUGGCCAUGAUAGGGCAAACCCCUCAUCUAAUGCUUCAUACAAGACGCCAGAUCUAAGUUUUCUCACCUCACUCACAGAGAUGGAAAGAAGAAUAAGAGAUCUUGAGAGAUGAAAUAGUAGAAGCCGGACAAAGAUGAGAUCUUUUAUGCGUCCACCAACGGGAGUAUAAUACUAAUCCCUCCGUUUCAAAUGACACAUGGUGCAAGCUUAAGCGCCUCUUCCUCUUUCUGCUCUCAUCUCUCGGCUCUCUCACUUCAAAGACCUUUUUUUGCCCUUCUCCUCUCCUGUGCUCCUGCUUCUGUUUGAAAUCUUCUAUCUUUCUCCGGGGGAUGGACUGUGACCGGAAGGAGAGGGAAGAGGAACGGCAGCAGCAAGAGAGUAGUACGCUGUACGCCUCUCAAAAUUGCCUCUUUCUCUCUGUAUCCUCCUCUUCUCAGCUUGCCAUGGAUGCUUGCAGCAUAAAAAAGCAAUAAAGUGCGUCCCCUCCAAUCUCUACCUCCCUUUCUCUCUCCAGAAUUAUCUCUUUUCUUUGCUAUCCUCCCUCCUCCCCGCCCUCCGUCGCCAUUGUAUAAUCGAAGCCUUGGCUUCUGACAUCCUGCAGCGACUCGCCUUCUUAAUGCGACACUGUUACUUGGAAUCCCGGCCGUCAAAAGUAUAGCAUCAUAUUUUUGAUUUAUGACCAAAAUAUCCUCAGAACACAGGAAGGAGGUCGUUGGAAAUUGGGGCUGUUUCCGUCUUUCAACACGGCCCUCGUUUUGUGACGCUUCACGGAGUUGAAAACGCCGCGACGCGACACGACACGACACGCUACCUUCGCCGAAACGUUAUGUAUCGAGCCGACACGAUAUGUGGAUGUGGUUCCGUAAACGGUUGAAAUCGGUAGAGAUAGAGUUCGUUCGUUGUUCGCGGACCAAAAGAUGCCACGUGGUACGCGCUGGCGUCAUCUCCACGUAUGAGAUCUGAUAUCUGAUACGAAUCUAAGGGCGGGUAAAAACGGGGUAACUCCAAACUGGUGCGUCCAGAUCUACUGAGAUGCCACGUGGAGCCUUCCCGAGUACUCAAUCAGCUGCACGUUUUCCAACAGCGACCAGCCUUUGAUUUCGCUCGUGGAGGACGUGGCGUCGUUGAAGGCUGUUUGGUGUUCGGCGACGUAGGGGAGAAAGCACGAAGAUCGAAGGCCGUCAGAUACGUAGGGCCCACGAUCGACUACAAUUGAUUACAAGAUAAUUGAGUGAAUUCCACUUGAAUCAUCACAUAUUUUGUGGUGUGGAUAAUAAAGGUGUUUUUUAUGAGUUUAUAUUUCCUUCUCAAAAUAUAUAUGAUCAUACAUUCUAAUGGAGGCCAUAUUAACCAUCAUUAUGCAUAUGCUAUGUUGUCAAAAAAAAUGUUUUCUCAGUAACUAUGUUUUCUUUUUUUUUUCUUUACUUAGUAAGAGUCAUUCAAAUCACACCAAAUAAUUUUGGGUGUCAUAAAAAAAAAUCAAAGUUUUUUAUGAAUUAUAUUUUUGCUCCAUAUGAUAUGAUGUUCAGAAUGAGAUUUAGUUUCUUUGUUAUGCAUUAAAUAAGUUUUUAAGAAAUAAAAAAAUAUAUUUACAACAGUUCAUCCUUAUCGAUCUGUAUCGAUAUAUUGAUUAACAAUCGAUACAAUAUGUAUUAAGCUAUAUCAAACGUAUCGAAUAUAUCGAUGUAUAAUGCAUAAUCUAUAUCAAUCUCCUAUUAAUAUUUAUUUACUUUUCACCUUUUAUAUCAUCUAAAUAAUACUAAUUUAACUAUCCACAUUAAUAGAAUAGAAUUCCUUGAUAUGCCAAGAAGGAAGGAAAGAGAUUAUUAGAGAGUUAAAAUUAUCUCCCAACAGGAGAUGUAUUAUUAGAAUUUUUUGACAUGACAAAAAUAGGAAAGGAGAAAGAUGAUUAGAGAGCUAAGAUUGUCUCCACCCAUCAAAGAAUGUAUCACUAGAAUUCUUUGAUAUGGCAAAGAAAAAUAAAUUAUUAGAGAGCUAAGAUUGACUCCACCCAACAAGGAAUAUAUUACUAAAUUUUUUUGACAUGAUAAAACAAGAAAGGAGAGAGAUGAUUAUAGAGCUAAGAUUGUCUCCACUCAAGCAUUACUAGAAUUCUUUCACAUGACAAAACAAGAGUGAGAGAGAGAGAGAGAGGAAGCUGCAAGUUGCCUCUGUCCAACAAGGGAUGUGGUAUUUAUUGUAGCUCAUUUAAAAGUUUAUUGAAUGAGACACUCAAUUUAGUACAGAUUGUUGAGGAAAGCCAUGGUUGUGACCUCACUCACACCCAACCAAAAUAGUUUUGUCUGCAGCCCCAUGUGGUUGCCAACUCUCAUUCAUUUGCUCCAAACCUAAAAAACCACCUCAUCAUGUAAUUAUGUUUGUUCCAAUAUCUGUGAUGUGGACUUAAUUCAGAAGAUAGUAGUAUUAAAAUAACAAUGUCAGAUCAUUUCAGAAGCUAUGUACUAAAUUAACAAUGCAACCCUGCUCUUAAUGUAAUUCCAUGUGAUGAGGAAAACAGAAGAUGUAAGCUGCUCUCAAUCCUUUCAAUAACACAAAAGGUCAGCUCCUCAGCAGCUGUGGACUGAUGUCUCUUCCUUUCUGUCAGUCCAUAUAUAACAUUUUCUUUGAGUUCUUUGCUGUGCAAUGGCCAAACAUCCAACCUAUCUCCUUCUGUAGCUCUUUGAAUCUCUGCAGAAGAAAGUGCAGAUUCCCAUAGUUUCCUGGUAAUUAACUUCACAGCCAAAGGAACAAAUGCCUGAGUUGGGACAGAAGAUAACCUGGGGACCCUUCAAUGAACCACAAAUCCUUCGUCUUCAUUGUCAGAUAUUUCCAUUGAAUUGACCUCUUCCCGGUGCAUAAUAGUAGCUUCACAGUAGCAGAUGCAUCCGAAAACUAGAAUCGAUCAAACCAUCUGCUAUCUCCCUGAAUAAUUCAGAAAUGUCUCAGUCCGAUGUUGCAGCUGUGGAUGUGAUUCUAUCCACCAAAGCACUGAAGCAUAGUGAAUAGCAGGAUAUAUCUGAUGGGCAAUUCUCCCUCCUUCAACCGCAGACAUGUCAAGGUAGAGCUUCCUUUGUGCUUGGUUCGACUCCACCAAAGAACAUGCUGCUCUUCAAGUUUGCAGAAAGACUAAAUUGAAUUCAGAUUCCCUUCAUAGAACACUAGCAGAUGGUCAGAAAAAAACAUAUAUAUGGCUGACAGUAAGUUUCUUACACCACCUUAUUCAAUGUCCAGUGCAAGAAUUCCAUGACAAGGACAAAGAAGGGGACACUGAGUCCCCUUGCCUUGACUCUAUAUUUCCAUUCAGAAGGAUAACAUAAGUGCAACAUCCAUUGUAUAUGAACUUGUCUGGAAGACCCAGGUAAGGUAUCACCUCCAUAAAAUUCCAAGCCCUGAGAUAUGUUACUCCUGUAAUGACCUCUGAACACAGCUCAGAGAGAGACAGAGAGAGAGAGAGCAUAUUACCAUCUCUACAUGCAUGGCCAACCCAUUGCUGCAAUAGCUGCUGGAGUGAACACCAACUUGGAACCUUCCAAUGCUGCUGCAAUCAACACCAACCAUGCAACAGUUUCCUUGUAAUAAUAUAGAUUAGGAAAGGUCCUGUCAAUCUACUUAGCUAUGCACAUGCAAUCUCCUUCUCCUACAGUGUCUAUGAUAUUAUUAUUAUUAGAUGUAGGAUUAAGCUUGUUGUUGUUGCAAUGGAGAAGGUGUUGUUGAUGCAGUUUAUGCUGACAACAAGCUAAUAGUUUAAAGAUGGAUGUUGAAUUGUAUACACAACAACACCUAAUUAGGAAGAUAGCCAUAAGUCAAAGGAGACAUAGCAUAUGCUCUCCUGUGUUUGCUUUGCUAAUUAAUUGAGAUUGGUUGUACAACCACUCACCAAAUGUUAGGUCAGUUCUUUUUUAGUUCACCCCUUGAUAGCAUUGGAUGCCAAAAUAAACUCUUCUUAUUAUUGUUGUUGUAUUUCCAAGUAUAUGAUUAUUAUGUUUCUAAAGAAACAAAUCCAUUGAUGGUAUAUAAUUAUUAGACUCUUAAUUAGGGUGAAUUAUAUAUUCCAAGUUUGAGCUGUUUUUGGCUUGCUUGGCACUUCAAACAAAGAGCUUCAAUCAUCACUAAGAUGAAGAAAUGUUGCUUUGAGGACUUUGUAAAUAGGGGAAGCAAUAUGUAAAUUGCAUUAUCAAGGAGAGUGAUAUGAUUAUUCAUGACAGUGGAUUGCUUAUGGUUGACGAUAUCAUUUAUUUCAAUCAACUCAAUAUUUCUUUAAUCCAAGUAUAUAACAAAUCAAUCUCACUCACUCGAGUCAACAAUCAAUAAAAACGAGGAUAUCUUGACGUAACACUUAAAUAAUAUCAUAUUGUCCCAUCAAGCUUAAGAUAUUGAAACUCAAGAAACAAGUUUAAAUUGACUUCAUCCUUUCUUUAUAAAUGAUCAAAUUUUGACUUAUUUAUUAUGAUACAUAAUAAAGAUUUUUAUUUUUUUAUUUUUUUUUAUAUUGAAUUAAAUGAUAUACAUGACACUGGAUUUGAACUUAAAAGCUUAUCAACAAUCAAUAGGAUAUAGCAAUAGAAAAAUCUAAAAUAUUAAAAAAUAUAUAUAACACAUCAUUCUAACAUAACUUUCUUUAAAAAAUUAAAUAGUUUCAUAAAUAUCUUACCAGCAUAAGACAACAAAUCAUAAAAUUAUGUGUGGCAACUUUUAUAUAGACAAUUGCUCAUCAUUCAAGUCAAAUUAAUAAUUAUAACAAAAUUAUACUAUCUUUUCUUACACCCCAAGGCAAUUGAGCCACUCAUCAAACUAUCCCUUGAUAGAGCAGGCUCAUGUUUACCACACUGUUUAAGAUUGGGAUGACACUUGUGUAAAACUUGUCAACUUCAUAAAGAACAACACCAAGAUUUUUGUGUGGCCUAAAAGACAUGCGAACCCUACUAAUUUACUUUAUUUAUUAUAAAGAUUAAAAUUAUGUCUUUUUUUUAGUUAUCCCUAAUUAUAUUUUGUGCCCAUGUUGUAGCUCACUUACAGCUAAAAAUGAUGAGUUGGGCCAACGUAAUGGUCUAAUUAAACAAUUGGCAAUAAAUUUUCCACAGAUAUCAGUUUUGGAUUAUUUAAUAUUAACAUAUUAUAUUAUUUUUAGAAAGUAAAAGAAUUUGUGAGAGUUGUUUUAUGGAUUCGCAAGAGAGUAUUUGAGUUUUUCCAAUAAAUAAACAUUAUUUUUUAUCUGAAUCUAAUCAAAAUUUAUGUUGAUGAAAAUUUUGAAUUGGGAAAAAUAAUUCUAGUGAUAUAAUAUCUAAUCAAACCGUGAAAUUUAAAUUUCAGUCAAAGAGAAAGAUAGUAAAUAUCUGAAUUCUUUUAUCCUCAUAUAUAUAUAUAUAUAUAUAUAUAUAUAUAUAUAUAUAUAUAAGAAUUUAUUGGAUUAGUUUAUCCUACAUAUAUUUUCUCUCUUACUGACCAUCAAAAUAUUUCAAAACAUACAAACUAUAAUAUCCAUACUAAAAAAAAAGAGUAGCUUGCAAACUAAGUCUACUAAGGAUUAAAAAUAAUCUAAAUUUGAUUUGAAGGAUGUGCAUACAUCCCCAACAACGACAUGUGGCCCAUUGAUUCCAAUAGUUAUCGCCUCUUGGAUUAAAUAAAAGGAAAGAAAAAGCUACAAGCAUGAAAUCCACAUCAUAUCCAAUCUUUUAGCAUACUACAAGUUUGUUGCCAUCAAAUGAGGUGUCAAUAUCAUAUAAAUAAAUCAUAAUUAAAAGAAAUUUUAGAGGAGGAAGAAGAAAACCUAUUAUAUUAAUUUUCUUCAUUUUAGUUUGCUGUAUUAUAACAUAGGAAAAGAAAAUAAAAGAAAAAAAAGGAGGCAAGUUCUUAAAAAUAAACCUCUUAUUUUUAUUUUUUCUAAUUAGAAUCUAUUUUUUAUUUUUUAUAUUUUUUUUCUAAAAGAUGAUAUUAUAUAACAAUAGGAUAAUCGCGGAUAAUUUCUCGAUCUCCAUAUCGAGGGUAGAGAUGAUGCCCGAUGAGAUCGAUAAAGGAAUAAUCUCGAUAUCGAGGUUAGAGGUGAUGCCCGAUGAGAUUGAUUGACAGAGGAAUAAUCUCGAUAUCGAGGUUAGAGGUGAUGCUGAUGAAAUUGAUUGACAGAGGAAUAAUCUCGAUAUCGAGAUUAGAGGUGAUGCCCGAUGAGACUAACAGACAAACAAGGGAGGGGAGGGCAGUGACAGACCAAAAAUAAGAGAUAAUUUAAUCAUUUAGAGAAAAAAAAUUAUUAUGUGAAAAUAAAUGGAAAAUGGAACUCUAAUAGAGAAAAAGAGAAAAUAGGUUUUUUUGUUUUUGAAAAUUGUCUAAAAGGAAAUUAGAGAUACCGACAUGGAAAAGAGCGCUUUUCCGAUACGUAACGUGUCGAAUGUCGGCGAUAUUAUCCAAACGCGGAGCCGAUAAGAAUCCCAAACAAACACCUCGAAGUUUCUUCCUCCGCCGCAUAAGCCUAACAACUACAACCGAAGCCGUCAUCUUUUCCUCUUGAUCGAUCCAUCCAUCGUCGAUUGCUCUCUCUAGAAAAGGUUCGACUGAAUUCGCUGUUCGAUUGUAUUUUGUUUGAUCGAAUUGUUGAUCCGUUUUUU
rnacentral:lncRNA from 1 species